rnacentral:lncRNA from 1 species
UGUGGAGUAAUCACGAGGAACGUGAAGCGACUUGGGAGCCGGAGGCUAUGAUGUUGGAGACCUAUGCCUACUUGUUUGAGAGUUCUUCUUUGAGGUAUGGUUUAAGUUUCAAGAACAAAACUUUUUGUAGAAGUGGAGGAUGCAGUGUUUUGAAAAAAAAAAUAUAUUAGAAUAUUAUUUCUUGUAAUGAUUACAGUCUGUGGAUUAAGCGACACGUUCGAAAAGUGUUAGGAUGAGUCGAAAUUGAUGUGGACGCGAAAUUGGUAAAACAAAUAAUUCCGAAGUACUAUUGAUUUUAGCUGGAAUAUUAUAAAGAGUUAUGUUGAGGUUUAGGCUCAACUUACACCUCCAACUACUUCUAAUUGCGAGUUUAGAGUAUAGUGCUAGCUGAGAUCAUCUCUCUUCCACUCUCAUUUCCUUUUUCCUCACAUUUUCCUCCUCUCAUUGCCUUUCUUCCUCUUCUACUCACCAUUGGAGCAUUCCCAGAAUAGCAGCAGCUUGGCAGCUUGAGGAGUUCGACUUUUCUUUGGAUUUUGGUGAUGUUUCGAAGUUUAAGAUUGUAGGAGAGGUGUAUGCACAGCUAGUUAAAGUUCAGAGUUUGUGGAAAGCUUCACUUCAUCAAAUCUCCAAGUAUUUUUGGAUUUUUUUCUUUUUAAGUUUUAGUAAAAGUUCCCAGUUUUUGAGCAAGUUGAGAUUUUAAUGUAUUUUCUUUGGAUUUUUCUCUUGGAGUUGAGCUUUCAUUUGGUUGGGGAGAAUCUUAACCCAAGUUCCGGUAUAACCCGGCGUGUGAUAGAUUAAGUUGGUAUCAGAUAAAAUUACUUGCAAUUUUUUUCUUUCUCCAAAUUAUAGGAUAAGUUUUUUUUCCCUAAUAAAAGGGUAUGUUUGGUUUAUGAGUGGAAUGAGAAUAGAAAAUUGAAUUGAAUUGCAUUGAAAUGGGAAAUAGAAUGACGAAUCAUCGAAAAAUUUUGUUUCAUUAUUGGAAUGGAAAUCAAAAUGAACAAUAGGGACAUCUAGUACUUUGAGAGAGGUUUUGGUUAAGGGAGAGGAGAAUGAUGAGGGGAGAGGAUGGGAAGGUUUCUGUGAGAGUAGAUUUUAAGUGGUUUACUCUGGAGAGAUAUUUCCAGGAUUCAAAGCCGGAUUGGGCCAUUUCUGUUCCAGAGUGGAAUGGGAAUCGAAAUCCUAUUCCUAUAAAACAAACAACAACUGUCGGAAUCAACGAGUCUAAAAUAGGGGAAGCAAACAAGCCCUAAAAUUAUUGUUUCUUUUUUAUUAUCAAAUCCAAAGUUCAUUGUCUUCUUCUUUUGACAAGAAAGUACCAAUGCUAUAUGUGAUGUUGACCUCAAAGAAAAAGAUUCAAUUUUCGGACAAUAGAGAAAGAAAUUGAUUUACUUUUGAGAAUAAAAAUAGUAGAGAAGAGAGAAAGAAUAGUAGAGAAGAGAGAGAGAGAGAGAGAGAGAGAGAGAGAGAGAGAGAGAUUGGGCGGGGAGAAGUUGCUUACGAGAGGGUUAAGAGGGGUGGCCGGGGCGAGCGCAGAGGUUUUUUCGCCACGAAGUUUUUUAUUAUUAUUUUUUUAAUUUUUUAUCGUAUGAUAUUGGAGUCAAGCUUUAAUCCGGGAUCCGAGGCUGGAUUGGUUUUUAUCCGGAUUAGUGGAUUCACAUUCUGGAGCGGAAAUGGAAUCGCAAUGGGAUUACACUAUACCAAACGUCUAGAAUCGGAAUGGAUAUUCCGAUUCUAGGGUUAAUAAAGAGUGAACCAAACAUGACCACAAUGUAAACUCAUCGCCCCAUGCCAAAGUCAGCAGAGCGGUGAACCUAAAAACGAAUCUAAUAAUAAUAAUAAUAAUACAAUCAAGCAACUAUUGAAACCAAACUAUAAGAGAAAACCUCAUAAGAACUGAACAACUCUACGCUAAAAAGUGCAGAUUUCACUACUGUUUCCAUCUAAUUUCAGCAUAAAAAAUCAUUACAUGCAGGUUAACAUGUUCUAUAUUCAGAUUUCAGCAUUUCAAACGAUAUUCUAGUGAUUCUAAGCUAGAAUAAAUAACUUUGAACAAACAAUAGCAUUCAUGCUGAAAGUUUAGUAAACAUAAUGGAAAUUCCAUCAAUUUUGGAAAAUUAAACCCGCCUUGUGUGCUAAUCCAACCACAGCAAGGAUUCAAUCACCAAUAUACCUCUCCUCAGCUUCAAAUUCGGCAAGAAAUUCAAAGGAAAAGACCUCACAAGGCAGCAGGGAAGGAGCUAAUUUAGUUCAAUGGUCAAACUUCAUCAAUGCUGAAAUUCACUUAUCAAUGCUGAAAUUCAUUACAAUUCCAAGCCUCCUAGUUGCAAUUCAAGUGGAAAGGAACAAGGGAAAGGUCUCUCCAACCAGGGAUAUGCUGAAAUCAAGAUUGGAGUCAAGAAAAAUUUAACGAAAUGCAACUUCAACUUCGGAACUGAAUUAACUUAACAAUUGGAUCACUGUACCUUAAAGUUCAGUUGGGUGCAACCUCAAAACAGCUGGAAUUGAAGCAAGGACCAGAAAGAAUCCCCCAAUUAAUUCACUAGAAGAAAUCGAAGUCGAAAAAUCAAAGAAAUCCAUCAAUUUCCACAAGACAUCAAAUUUCAGCAUACUAACUUCAGCAAUUAACUACUAAUAUACCUGAAAUUUAGAUGAAGAAAGAAAUCCACUAGAUCCUCUCCCUCCCUAGAACAUCACCAAGAACCCAAUUUUGCUGCCAACAAUUUAGAUUCAAGAAUUGGAUCAAAAGAACCCUAGAAAAUCCAACAAUGCUGGAAUUUCAGCUCAAACUUCAUGUUCACUCAAGUCUCAUUCAUACAUACCUCUCUAACUUCAGCUAGGAAAGGAGUCCAAACUGAGCUCCCCUACUCCCUUAUUCUCCCCAAGAAUCACAAUUUCGAAGUUGAGGUCACCAAUCACUCAAAUUCAACCCACAUUGAGGUUGCCACUGCUGGCAGCACAUGCUGCAGUUGCUGGCAGCACCUCCUGCUGCUACUUCUCCUGCUGCAGCUACCAAUGGUGUAGGAGAAGAAGCAAAAGAAUAAGAAGAUGGCUGAAACUCCCCUGCAGCUGCUGCAAUUUCCCUGCUGCUGCUGCUGCUGUAGCUUCCUUGCUGCUGCAGUAGCUGGCAGCAAUGCUGCUGCUAGCAGCAAUGCGCAUGAAGUUCAGCUGGGAGAGAGGGAGGACCGGAGGAGGAAAAGAAGAAGAAGACUUAGAAGAAGAGAGGAGAAGAAGAUAGGUAUAAUUCAGUUGAUUCGCUAACCUACAAAAUCCCCAAUUAAGGGUGGUUGGAGGGAGGUGAGUCGCACACUAGGUACAACACAACAUAAAAUAUUCCAGCUGAAUUUUACUCGCAUUUCGGGUUCGUUUGUAGCGUCAAUUUUAUGUCCAAACGAUUGCAACCCAUCCCAAUAUUCUACAAAAGUGUUGACCUGUUACUGAUACUGUAGUUGUUCCGAUAGUUAAAUUUUUUAGAAGACUACAUCCUCCUCCUUACAAAAAGUUUCAUUCUUGAAACUUAACUUGUACCUCACAUCAAAUCCUCAAAUAAAAGCUCACAAAUGCUAUAGUACACACAUGAAAAAAGAUAAGCAACUGCUCUACUACUUAUGGGACAACCAUCAAGUGCCAAAUGGCGAGCAGCCUUGCAUUAAUGCUACUUUUGAAAUGAGAUCCUCCAGAAGAAGGAUCUCACAUUGCUUCUCAAUCAUGCAAAGGUCUUCAAUCAUUAGAGGGUGUUCCAGACUCUGAAUUGAAGUCUUAAGGCCCAAAUCCUGUUGGAUAUAGUUAUAUAAUCCAAAUAAUAUGUUCACAUACAAGCCCAAUAGGUGAAAGCGUAUUAGGGCCCAUAUCAACUGGAGCCCAAUAGCUUACUUAUUAAUCCUAGGGUUCUCCUAAGCUGGAGGUAACACUGUUGAGCAUUCCAAACUUGAUGUCUCUUGGUGUAAUACUUCAAGCACCCUGAAACGCCAUCUAUUCUCAAAAACCCAUAACCUCCAACAAUCUUGAAGUAUUAUGAUCGCAUGUCGGAUCUGAGCGAGUAAGGUGUCUAUUUGAAGAUCUCGUCAAGAUGUGAACUCACAGGUAUAAUUUACUUUCGAUUUCGACAGUCGGAUUGGCCGGGAUCUGAGUUUGAAAGUCAGGCGGCUGAAAUCUUUGAUUCAAAAACCCAAAAAUUAUAGCCAAUUUCGGAGGGUGAAACCACUUGGGUUCUGUUCUACUCGUCGAUACGAACGUUUUGAGUGGUCACUCGUCUCGAACGGAGGUCGGACGACGGAGUUACGGCGAUUGAAAGUUUUCAGCAGUUUCCGGCAACGAGGGCAGUUCAUCUUAGGGCCCGUUUGCUUUGAUGUAAGUGGAGUGAUGGAACUCAAGUUCCAGCACUUCCGUUAUUUGUUUUGGUGUAAGUGAAAAAUAUAAUGUAACUCAAGUUACGUUAGAGCUCCACUUCACCUACUCUCGACUUCCUCCUCUAAAGUGCCGAACUCGACUUCCACCACACUCAACCUCCUCUAAAAAAUUAAUUAAACAGUAAAACCUAAACUCUACUUCCUUUAUAAUGGAUUAGAAUUACCUUAUUUAUAAUAAAUUAGGAUUACCUUUAAAUAAUAAUAAAAAAUUUAAUUAUAUAAUAGGUUAAAUUUUAUAGUGGUAAAUUUACUACUAUAUUUAGGAGAUAAUAGGAUCCACUUACAUCAAAACAAACAACGGAACUCAAAAAACUAAUUUUACCAGCACCAAAUUACAUCAAAACAAACAGAAGAAGUAAUUGAAUUUAACUUUCAGACUGUACGAGUUACGUCAAAACAAACAACAAAAAAAUAAUCACACUUCAGGGAAACUCAAACACCACUACACUUGACUUAUGUUGGAUCUACAGAUUCGUCAAUUCAAACGCCCCCUUAAGGUUUUUGGGCACUACGGAUCCAUUUUUGGGUCUGUUUUUGGCAAAUUCCACCUCUACUGAGCAGUUUGAUUCAGGUCAGGGGCUUUAUUCGACUUUGUGAGCUCUGAGGACUACAAGAUGCACUCUUUCUAACACUUUGCUCUGAUUAAAUGGCAAAGCGUAGUUCUUAUGAUAUUAUAAAGCUGCAAUCAUUUGAUGUCAUUGAAUUUCAUGGUUGGAAAUUACAUGUUCAAUUUGGCAUGAAAGAACGUGAAAUAUUCUACACUAUUUUGAGUGAUUUUGCAUCUACCAUUGAAGAUGUGGAUGAGUAUCAAUGGAACAAGGAUGAAGAUUUUUGUAGAGAUUACUUGUUGAACUCUCUAAAUCCUCGUCUAGCUAUGACUUACAGUGAGUAUAAGACAGCGAAAGAGAUAUAGGAUCACUUGAACGUUCAGUUCCAAAAACAAGAGGGGAAGAAGGGAAAGUGCCAUAACUGUGGAAAGUGGGGUCACUGAGCAGCAGAGUGUAAACUACCAAAGAAGCCAAAGAAUAACAGACCACAAAGUGAGGCUAAUAUGCUAAUUAGUGAAUCUGAGCCUCAAGCCUUCAUUGGAACGAUGAAAAUUGGAAAGGCUAGUAUUUCUUCUGAGUGGUGGUUGGAUAGUGGCACUACUUAUCAUGCUGCAAAUAACAAGAACCUACUCACAGAGGUCACAGAAGUGAAAGACACCGUGGAAAAUUGCAAUGGUGGUGAGGCAGAAGUGACUCAUGCUGGAACUGCAAACUUUGUGCUUUUUUCAGGUAAAUUACUAACUCUGAAACAUGUUAGAGUAGUAUCUUUAUUUAAAAGGAAUUUGAUAUCUAUGAGCUUACUUGAUAAAGCUGGUAUGUCCUUUUUAACUAUGAAUGGUAGAGUAACCUUAUCUGUUCACUCAUGUUAUUUCGGUUGUGCAUUCAUGGUUAAUGGUAUGUAUAGGUUGAGUUUAGAUACUGAUAGCAUAAACCAUGUGAGUUCUAUUCUGAUUGAUCCAAAGUUGUUGCACAAUAGACUUGGACAUGUGAACUACAGGAAAAUGCAACAUCUAGCUAAAACUCACAACAUUCCAUUAUAUACUUCUAUUCGAUUUGACAAAUGUGAAGUGUGUGCACAAGCUAAGAUCACUAGAAAACCUUUUAAUUCGGUUUCUAAAAGCACACAACUUCUUGAGCUAAUACAUUCUGACCUUUGUGAUUUUAGAAAUUACGUCACUAGAGGUGGUCGGAAGUAUCUGAUAACAUUCAUGGACGAUUUUUCUAGAUAUUGUCAUGUCUAUUUGUUGAAAUCGAAAGAUGAGGCUUUUGAAAAGUUUAAGAUUUUCAAGUCUAGAAUAGAAAAUCAACUCAACUUGAAAAUUAAGAGGUUUAGGAGUGAUAGAGGAGGAGAAUAUACAAUGACAGGGUUCAAGGUUUUGUGCUUCAGAGGGCAUAAUACUUGAAACGACUGCUCCUUACCCCAAUCAAAUGGUGUUGCCGAGCAUAAGAAUAGAACGUUAACUGAAAUGUUAAAUUCUCUGUUACUUACAGUUGGCAUGCCUUCCUCCUAUUGUGGAGAAGCAGUUCUAACUGCUAAUCACAUCCUGAACAGAUUGCCACACUCUAAGUUGUCUAUGACAUCUUAUAAGAUAUGGCAUAAGCGUCCUUGUAGAUAUAAUAUUCUUAAGACCUGGGGUUGUGUUGCUUAUGUAAGAAUACAAGAUCCAAAGAGACUUAAGGUGGGACCUAGAACCAUUACCUGUGUAUAUCUAGGUAGUGCAGAAGAUAGUGCUGCAGAUAGGUUUUUAGAUCUAUCUACUAACACAGUGAUAGAAUCUAGAGAUGCAGAAUUCUUCGAGAAUAAGUUUCUCAGAGAUCAUGGCUUGAAUAUUUCUAGAUCUACAGAUAUGAUUUCGGAAUCUCUUGUAGAAUCUGAAGCAGGCCCUUCUAACACUAAUCCGACACAACUGGCUGUUGAAUCAUCUCCAAUUAGAGUAUCUACAAGAGAGAGAGUUCCCAAAAGUUUUGGUGAGAACUUUGUUACUUACCAUUUAGAGGAUGAUUCAUUUUCUUAUCAAGAAGCAAUGAGAUCUAGGGAAUCCCUACUGUGGACAGAAGCCAUAGAUGAUGAAAUGAGCUCUCUGUUGCAGAACCAUAUUUGGCAGCUAGUCAAUUUGCCAAAGGGGGCUAAGGCUAUAGGCUGUAAGUGGGUAUUGAAAAAGAAACUGAAUAGUGAUGGAUCAAUAGCUAGAUACAAAGCACGUUUAGUAGCUAAAGGCUAUGUAACACACUGGACCUGUGCAAAUUGCGAGUUCGAAUGCUUGAUAUGGAUUCCGAGCUUUUCUACACUUGGUGGAAGGUCGUAGACUGUAUUCCGACCUAAAAGUUCGAUUUCUGAAAUUUGGUUAAGUCCUGAGAGUUUUUACUCACGGGGAUCGGUCCCUGGUGGGAGAGACCGGUUCCUCCCGGAACAGUGUUGCGGCGGGACUUGAGGCAACCGGUCCCUGGCAGGGAAAGACUGGUUCGUGAGAGCGUGUUUUGUGGGAGGGCCCUGAAGGACCGGUCCCAACUGGGAGAGACCGGUCCCUCUAGGCGAAAAUUGCCCAGUUCGGGCUGAUGCACAGAUUGGAUUGUUGAGGGACCUAAAUGGAUUUUGUUACAUGAGAGGGCUUUUAGAGCCAUUUCCCCUCUCUUUUCCUCACUUCUUACUCUCUCACUCUCUCACACCUCUAGAAAGAGAAGAAGAAGAAGAGAAAGAAGAAGGAGGAGAGGAAGAGCUUGCUUGAGGGAGCUUGGAGCAUCAACCCUUUAUCUCUUUCUUCACCAUUGGAGGCUUGGAGCUUGGACUUGGAGCUUUGUGGAGGAUCAAACUCCCAUCCUUGAGGGUUUUGAGCUUGGUUUGGAGCAUCCUAGAGGUAUGUGGCUAGUUUCUCUCCUCUAGAUCCUAGUUUUGGAGCUUUUUACUAGAUGAAACCCUAGAUUUGGAUUUUAGGGUUUAUUUUGGGGAUUUCCGAUUUGAGGGCUUUGAGACCUAAUUGAUGGGUUUAGAACCUUGGUUUAGGUUGGAUUGGAAAGGCUCUAACUCCCAUUUGGAGAUCGAGAGAGCUUCCUUCACACUUGGUUAGUUUUUCUCCACCUUAGCUUGAGAUGGUUAAUGAUCAAUCUUAUGGUUGUUCGUAAGGUUCGUUUAACUCUUGUUCCUACAUCUUUAGGGUGCUAGGAGACUAGUGGACACCUUCGUCGGAGCAAACGAAGGAGCGCAAGAGUUGUGGUGGGUUUGACUUCAUGAAAUCGGGGCGAAAUGGCCUCUAUGUAUUCUAUACUUGUCGUAACGUCAAUUUGAAUGCAAAUCCAUGUUAGAUAGGAUUUAUGUGAAUUUUAGAACACUUAAAAUUCAUGUGCUAUGUGUAAGAUAAAUUUCACUCUAUAUAGUAGAGCAUACUGGGUAAUUUUCAUGCAUGUGAGAAGUGUUCGAGAUAGCAAUGGGAAUCAUGUCCCUUAUGUUAAGUUAACUCAUAAUUGUGUAAUUGUAAACACUACACUAUGAUUGGACUUAGUGACCAAAAGUGUCAUAAAGGGGCACUUGGACUAGCAAACUAUGAAACUGCUAUAAUGAGACAUAGUGAUAGGCCUUUGAUAUCUAUUACUUUCAUGUUUUAGACAUGAUGACUUAGAGAUAGGCCAUUAAGAUAUGUGGCAUACUCUAUGUUGUUAGACAUGAGGACUUGCUACUUGAGGCGGAUCUUACGUUACUUGCCAUUGUGCUCAUUCGCACAUGCUUGUGAGGGUCGCUCCCUACAAGCCGGCAUUCCGGAGAUGGCCAUCGCGAUACAUAUUCGCCGUGCGGGAUUGGGCGCCGAAGUGGAUUGCUGUGGGAAAGGCUCAUUCCUAGAGUGGGGAUGUUGACUACCACGGGGCCAUCAGGCUCGGCAUUGGCCAGACAGCCUACGGGUGGGUCUCAGGGCCAGACAGCCUUCGGGCGGGUCUCUUCAGAUUUGACUUUGAGCAUUCAUCAUGCCAUGUGGACAUUGACUAGAAUAGUAAACAAGGAUAUCUUUACUAUUUAGCUUAUGGACAUCAUACUAGUGAUGAUUUGGUACAUUCAUGCUAGUGUAGCCUUUUUAUUACUUAAGCAAAAUCAUGCUAAGUAGAAAUAUCUUGUGGUAGCAGGUUUUCAUGUUUAUUUACUAGUUGUACUUAUCGCUUUUGUUAUACUUAUACACUAAUCCCUUUUUGUAUCUUUUGGGCCUAGUGGCGCAUUUCACUAAAGUCGUAAUUACCCACUGGGAACUAUUAUUCAAUAGUUCUCACGACCCCUGUUUCGUGGUUUUAUUUCAGAGCCUUUGGCACCAGCGGAGGCACGGGAUCGCGGCAAGGGAGUUGCGUAGCUAGAUAGCGGAGCUUGCUGUUGCUCCUAGGUGGUUAUUCUCUUCUUUUUGGUUUUGUGAGAGAGAGAGUUUUGUUACCAUGUAUAGAGACCACCCAUGUUUUUAUGUUUAGCAUUUGUAUUUGGGAUUCUUCUUGNUUUUGGUUUUGUGAGAGAGAGAGUUUUGUUACCAUGUAUAGAGACCACCCAUGUUUUUAUGUUUAGCAUUUGUAUUUGGGAUUCUUCUUGUACUAUUUCAUGCUUUUAUUUAGUGGACUUUCGACUUUAUGUUCAUUUCUUUUAUUGUAGCCUCUAAAUACACUUUGCUCUGAUACAGCUAGAUGUUCUCGUUCUUCUUGCCUUAUUUAUCGUUUUGUUUUAGACGCCUUGUAUGUUUUAGACAUAUGGCGGGUCUGGGCACGCGCCGGGUCGGCUUCCGCUGGGUCCCGGGGCGUGACAGAAUAAAUAGCAGAGUGGAAUAGACUAUUUUGAUGUCUAUUCACCUGUGUGUCAUCUAUCAACUAUGAGAUUUCUUCUUGCUUUGGCAUCUAUUGAACACUUUGUAGUGCAUCAAAUGGAUGUAAAGACAGCUAUCCUAAAUGGAGAGUUAAAUGAAGAAAUCUACAUGGAAUAACCGGAAGGGUUUGUCAUGAAAGAUCUUGAGGACAAAGUUUGUAAAUUGAAUAAAUCUUUGUACGGUCUUAAACAAGCACCUAAGAUGUGGCAUCUUAAAUUUGACAAAGUGGUAAAGAGUUAUGGCUUUCAAUCUAGCUAUUCAGAUAAAUGCCUUUAUCAUCGUUCUAUGUCAAAUAAAAUAGUCAUCAUUUGCUUAUAUGUUGAUGACAUGUUAAUUCUUGGCUCCAAUCAUUCUGUAGUGAGUGACGCGAAAGCUACUUUAGCUAAAGAAUUUGACGUGAAAGAUCUUGGUGUUGCUAAUACCAUUCUUGGUAUGAAAGUUAGAUUCGAAAGGCAAGUCAUCUCCCUUAGCCAGACUCAUUAUAUUGAGCAGCUACUUUCUACCUGGGGAUACAGUGAUUGUAAACCGAGUGAGACACCAUGUGAUUAUAAUAAAAGACUGAGUCCUAAUGAAAGGACUAGUAUGGAUCAAUUAAAGUACUCGAAACUGAUCGGUAGUCUCAUGUAUGCUAUGAGUUGCACUAGACCCAACAUCGCCUUUACAGUUGGCAUGCUGAGUCGUUUCACUAGUAAUCCUAGUAAAGAGCAUUGGGAUGCCCUUAGUAGGCUGAUGAGAUACCUUAAAGGUACGAAAGAUUAUGUUCUAUGUUAUUCUGGUUAUUCUCCAACUGUGGAUGGAUAUUCUGAUGCCCCAUGGUGCUCAGAAAUUGGAAAUAGUAAGUCCACAAGUGGAUAUGUAUUCACUUUAGGUAGAGCUGCUAUUACUUGGAAAUCCAAAAGACAGACUUGUAUUGCCUUAUCGUCUAUGGAAUCAGAACUUUUUGCUUUAGCUUCCGUUUGCGAAGAGACAGAAUAGAUAAAGAAUCUGAUUUUGGAUAUUCCUUUGACUCGGCUAUAGAUUAAUUCUUUAAGCCUGUUCUGUGAUAAUCAAGCAGCUGUCCAAGUUGUCAAGAAUGCUUUUUUUAAUUCAAAGAGAAGACAUGUGAGACUGAGACAUGCGUUGUUGAAUUAUCUGAGAGAACAAGGAGUUAUCACCUUGAUUGAUGUGAGAUCAAAGGAUAACUUGGCCGAUACUCUCAUAAAAGGUAUGCCUAAAGAUCGAUUAUUCAAAAUAGUGGGGGAAAUGGGGUUAAAGACUAUGUAGACUAGUCUUAAUUACCAUUUACUUACCUUCUAAUUGUAUGUUUUGAAUUAUCGAAUCUUCCUUUGGUGGUCAAGCACAAUUUAUAUGUUUCAUCGAUGUUCAUGGUUGCGGACUAAUUUGAAAAGGGUAAGUUGUCUCAUUCCAAACUUGAUGAAGAUGACUUUAACCUAGUUCAAAGUUCUACCUGGAAAGCUUGUGUCAUUCCAAACUUGAUGAUACAAUCCAACUAGGUUGGACUAUUCUUUUCUUAGUUAAAUGAUCUCAUUCCAAAUUUGAUGCUAGAUUAUUUGACUUUAAAGAAUUAGUAACUGUGACAUUCCAAAUUGAAACAUAGAAAUAGCUAUCUGCAUAAGAAGCCUGUUGGUCUUGGUCUUAAUUAAAACUUGAUAUUAUAUGACUAGUUUAUUGUAAGUGACUUGACUAUUGGUCAUGUUCUUUGAAACUAGAUAAUGGUUAUUCUCUUACAAAUAAACUUAAGUUGAUGGCUCUUUGUAAAUCAUACUAUUUAGGCUUUGUUCAUAAUUUAUGAAACUGGCUUGAUGCUUAUGAACAUGAUAUUAUGAUGCUUUAUGACAUUAAUAUAUGUUCUUCUUUGCCUGAUGUUAUGAUGCUAAGUUCUUUUAGUAGAACUAGACACUUUAGUAGAUUAUUCAAAUGAUUGAAUUCAUGAUAAUAUGAAAUUUAUAUUUGAUAUUCUACAGAGGAUGGCAGGGAUGGAGGAGAGCUUAAUGAGUGGGAUCCUGAUCAGGAUGAUCUACUUGAUGAAUGAAUAUAUAUAUAUCAUUUAGAGCGUACGGGAACUUGACAGUUCACCUACUAUUGCCCGUUUUGGUGGAGCCCAUUUACUUAAGACUUGCUUUUUGCUAUCUCUAUUUUGUGAAUAUUAUUAUGCUUUUUUCUUGUAUUUGUAAGGCCUUGGAUUAUUUUGACUGGCCUACUUAUACCUGACUGUUAUGCACAUGUUGGUUGUGAACUGAUUUUGAGAAUUAUUUUGGGUAUGCCGAUCUCAGAACAGAUUCAUGAUAAGGAUGAUUCACUCAUUUGGAUUGCAAUUGAUGAUUGAGUUUUAAUCCGAGUUGAUUGUCUUGGACUGAAUGUGGAUGAUUCAUAUUUGUUUGAACAUUACACUGACCACCAUAUUGGAUUGUGCUGUAUGGUGAACAUAGGAGGAGAUUGUUGGAUAUAUUGUUAUAUAAUUCAAAUAAUAUGUUCACAUACAAGCCCAAUAGGUAAAAGCGUAUUAGGGCCCAUACCAACUGGAGCCCAAUAGCUUACUUAUUAAUCCUAGGGUUCUCCUAAGCUGGAGGUAAUACUGUUGAGCAUUCCAAACUUGAUGUCUCUUGGUGUAAUACUUCAAGCACCCUGAAACACCAUCUAUUCUCAAAAACCCAUGACCUCCAACAAAUCCAUGGUUCUAGAAAGGGUCUAUUGAGGUGCAUAGAUGAGAAGAGUAAGCACAACAGUCGUUGGAUAUUUCACUCACUCACGUUUUCUCUGCUUGAUCGAUGAUGUACAAUAAGAGCUAGUGAAUUUAUAAGCAAUACAAAUGCUGCAUCAAAAGGAGGACCAAAGGGAAGCAGAUGUGAGAAGGGAGAGGCGUAGGAGGGAAGAAAAUGGGAUGUGCACGGGAAGAGGGGUCGAGAAAGGAAAGAGUGCAGAGAAAAAAGGUAUGGGGUAGGGAGGCAAGGUAGGUUUAAGCGACCAAAGACUACGACUAAUAAGACUCCAUCUCAUGUAGCAUAGGCGUCCGGUCAAGUGGUGAAGGAGAAAGCAACAGGGCAAUCAAGGUUAUUAUGUUAAGAACUACCGGCCUGUUUGGGUAGCAAGGAUUUUCUCUUGUAGUUGCAAUCUAGGAGGUUGCUUUUAGUUUACUGCGAGGUUCUAGCAGUCAUGAUCUUUCAAGAUAAUGCUUCCACCUAAAAAAUAACUUACUUUAUAUGGAUUUCUGAGAAAAUGACUUACGGCCGUACGUACUAUACCUUUAUUAAUAUAUACUUAUAAUCCUCAUCUAUCAAUUACUCUAGUUGAGUGAACAAAGAGAUGGAACGACUAGAAUAUUCAGGCAUCCAAAUAGAGCCUAGUCUAAACAAAGAGUCUGUAUUGGAGGUUUUGUUGUGUAGUGUCUGUAUAUUGGCAUUGCAGAAUCUUCUGCUUCCAAAGAAAACAAAAAAAAGGAAUAUGUUUUCAUAUUUUGAAUUGGCAUUGUAGGAUCUUGAAAUCGAUAAAGUUAUAUUAUUCGAAGAUUUUGUUUUACUUUUAGUUCCAUAAGCCUGGUGAAGAGUGGCUUACAAGAUAGAUACAUGACUUAGACAUGGAAGUGGAAGAAAGGAACAAAUUUUUAAGAUCUUGUUCCUGUUAAUUAGUAAAAGGGAAGCUUUUCCCAUUUUGAAGCAUUUAAGAAUUUUGACUUUGUUUUGUAUCAACCACCAAUUCUGCUUUACAUCUUCUUCCUGGUGAGUGCAUGAUUCCUUAAUUAGAUGUCGAUAAAGCUAACAUAUCAUCCUUGGUUCAAUUAUUGUUUUGUUCAUUUUGUUCUUCAGGAAGAACAUGAUGUUAAUUAUGAAGAGGAGCCAGAGGCUGUUGAUGAAUUUGACAGUGAUUUCGACGAGGAUGUGAGAGCACCAUUUAUCUCCUUUUUACUUGUUGAUUCUUUUUUUUUCCCUUAAUUUAUAGAAAUUAGAAAUGGUUUUCACUACAUUUUGUCAUUAUUAUCAGGAGCCCGACCCCGAUGACGAAGCUGAAAAUGAAGCCGAAGAGAGGUGACCCUCAUUUCCGCCGAAAUCCAACUGUUAGGGUGUUGUUUUUCUUUUAUAUUUUUAAUUAAAAUAUGGAGAAUUUUCUUGAAAAUAGUUCCAUUUGCACUUUGCCUCCUUGAGAUAUAAAAACCCUUCAUUUACCCACUGCAUGUUUAGAGAAUUAGCACACAACCCUUUCCCAUUGGCCAUCACAUUUUUCAGUUUUGAAUUGUUAGAAAGACUCGAGAUAUUUUCUUCCAUAAAAAGGGUAUAAUGGGUAUAAUCUACUAUAAUCUAUGACUUCUGAAUUAUUCUCACUUAAUGGAAAUUGUUACUAAACAUAAUAUUUGCCUUUAAUUUUUGGAGGGCCAAAGUGUUAUAGCGUAUUUCCACAAGGGAUUAUCUGCAAUUUAGCCAUUUUUUUCUUCAUUGAAGUCUAACAUUUUGUUUUCCUCUCAGGUUAAAACCAGUUAAGAAAAGGCUAAUAUUUCCUGGGAAGUCCAUGCCGAAGAAGAAAGGCAAGAAGAAGGUUCUUUCAAAAAUAGAAAAGGAAAAGGAAACUAAAACUGAAGGAACUUCUGACAAACCUGCCCAAUCAGAAAAAGGGAACGUUCCUGAUGAGUUGGAGGGUGAGAGAACGGUGAGAAAAUCAACUAGAACAUCGGUUAUUGUGAGGCAAGCUGAAAGAGAUGCUAUACGUGCUGCUUUGCAAGCUACCAUGAAGGUUAGAAUAUUGGAGAAUUUUUGUAUAUAUCCUAGAAAAACCAUCAAUCGGCAUUAGUGACUCCGUCUCACAAAGUAAUAGUUUCACAAAUAGCUGGCGUAAUUUGAGUUCAAUGAAAUAUUAUUUCCCAAAAUUUACCAUGAAGAAUUUUAUAUUUUUGGUAGUACAUAGAAUAUUCAAACCUUAAAACAGAUAUAUGAACAUUUCAUUAUUUUGCCUGUUCCUGUCAGCUCAUCAUGAAAAUAUGUGACAAAUCCUUCCACUGUUUACUGUAGUGACAAAUUUGGGUAUUUCGGGUUCUCAUAUAUAUGUUGUCAGUUAGAAAAAUGUACUGAAGCAUGAAGUUCUUAGUUCAUAGAAGAGCUAUUUAUGAUGAAAGAAUAAGUUUGCGACUUUAUUCACUACUCUACUGUGUAUUGAACCACAUUACCAGCCAAUAAAGCGGAAAAAGGAGGGCGAGGAAAAACGUAUGACGCAAGAAGAAAUGCUUCUAGAAGCAGCUGAAACCGGUAUUAAUUGUAAUCUAUAUUUUGCUGACAUUUGUAGCAGUGGAAAUGCAGUUACAUUGUACUGAUUAUAUUUUAUGUCAUUUCAGAAAUUAUGAAUUUGAGAAACUUGGAACGUGUAUUGGCAAGGGAAGAAGAAGUGAAGAAAAAGGCAAUUAUUCAUAAAGAGGUCUACAACGGACCUCAGAUACGUUUUACCUCCAAAAAUGGCAAGAACUAUUCCCAUUACUUCUAUUCUUAUCAUCCACCAUUGCAAUUGGUAUUUCCAUUCUCAUUAAAUAUUACGUGUCUGGAUAUAAGGAACUAAAAUUUUUGAAAUAAAUCUGCACUAGGGAUCUCAUUGCUGGAAUUUAACAAGGGGGCAUCAUUUGAAUCAGAACUCUGCACGACAUCAAUUCCCUGUAAGUGUAUGAAAUUUUCUGGUUGUUCUUUUGGAACUAAAACAAGAUUAAUAUCUUUGUAGCUUUCUUUAUUAUUGUUAUUUUUUCCCAUAGAUAUCGCCCAUGACGGAUAUCGAGAUGUGCUUUCUUUAGCAUCAUCGCUAGGAAAGUGUAAAGGAAAACAUUAUGUUAUAUACUUGCUAGCCCUUUUGAAGGAGGUUAAAAGGAAUUACAGAAAAAGGUUCUCAUUUAAUUUUUAAAUAGUUCAGAACUGAAUCAACCUUAAAAAUUUAUCAAAAGUUACCAAAAAAACCCAUCUAAUUCACUAUUAAAAUAAAGCAAGUGAAUGGCAUGAGAUUGAAGCAUUUGCUUGCCCUUUGCCUGAUUCUUUAAUUUAUGUAUCGUAUUCUUUUUUCUUGGUUUCAAUGUUCAACUAGAAAUCGAAUAAUCACAGCCUUAUGCUGUUUCAAAAUUUUUUAGGCCUUAUCAACCUAUCUUUUCCAUAUUAAUUAAUAUCGAGAUUUCUCUACAUAAUAAUCAUGACUAUUUUCAAACGACAAUUGCAUCUUGAGUGUUCAUCCUGCAUACACAUGUAUUAAUAACACAGACUACAUGCGAACUUAGAAAUGUAGUGUUGUACUCCUACUAUUUUAUGCGAUCUAUCUAGAUCUUUUUAGUAGCCAUCCAUAAUAUCGCCAACUUAUUUUUCUUUUUUCCUAUCUUUCUGGUAAUCUCGAGAGGAAAGUGAAUUCAGAAUAGCAACAACAUUCUUGAUUAUACUUGUCUAAUUUAAGUUUCUCUUUGUUUGGGCCGAUAUGCAGAUCCAGAGAAGUCCUUUUGUGUGGUUACUGGGUUACCUGCAAAGUAUGUAAUCUAAACCCUUGUCACUGGCGUUUCUUUUGUUAAGUUUGUCUUAUAUGCAUGUCAUCUUCUUUUUCUUUUCUGUAUUAUUUGCUACUUUCGUGGUAACUUGGUGAACCAAAAAGUAUAUUUGUCAUGAUAGCAGUAAAUAAAAGUGCAUGAACUUGGUAAUCAAAUUAUUUAUCAUUUUACUUGCUUGGAUCGUUAAGCACGUAAUUUUAGAAAAAUGUACAGAGGAUAGUGUGUCUGUGCUACUUCUGUUUCUAGAAUUUCAGUGCCCUAAUACUUCAAGGCUAGAUUGGUUAUGGACUUUCACUAAGGAAAAAAGGAACAUUGUAAACGUGAUUCAUAGUUAGUCUAUUAUGAAAAAUCAUUUGAUUUUUUAGCAAAUAAAAUUCGAAGCUUGAAUUGGAUGCUCAAAUCUGUUAGUUUCAGAAAUUGCAAAUCCGGUAGCUAUCUUGUGAUACAUAAAUGAAAUUGCUCUCCUAUCAACAUUUUGUCAUUGCAGAACAUGGUUUGGUCUCUUCUAAAGCUUUAGUCUUCUUGGUUUCACGAAUGGUGUGUUGUAAUUGUAAAGGAAUCAGAAAUAGUAUUUGCAAGAGUGGCAUGCUGAUAUGGCAGACUGUCUCCACAUUGAUUGCAAUAUCAAUUAUAUUCUUUUCUUACUCCAGGUAUCGGGAUCCAAAGACCGGAUUACCUUAUGCAACGAUGGAAGCCUUCAAAAUAAUUCGAGAACGGUAAAUAUUUUUUCCUUACUGUCUCGAGAGUGUUAUAAUUGUCUGAGCUUAUUCUGGACUGCUGCUACCUGUUACAAGUUCUUAGUAACAUCAAUUGGUCUUUGGUAAUUACUGGAAACCUAUGUUCUAUUACAUGUUAAAUAUUUUUUCUUGAGACUUUGUUCUUCAUCCAUGGGGAGGGCACUGUUUGCAUGGGGGAUAAUGGGGUACAGUUUAAUUUGGGCAAAAAGCACGUGGGGUUGGAUGUUUCUGGUCAAUCUGGUUAUUCUAGAAUUAUUCAGGAAGUACAAUUCGGGCUGAUUGUUUGGAAUAGUGUUAUUCCUCACUGUAUGCCUAGUUAUGCCAUGUGAUCAUUGCAACUAUCCAUUUUCAUUCUAGUUCUUCUGACAAUGAUCACAGUUUUCUCCUGUAAUUCAAGAAUGAAUUUAAAAGGAGUCCCUACAUUAUGGUAUAGCUAUUGCAAAUGGCUUAACUACUGUACUACACUAUACUUCAGAGGUUUUUCACUUCCAACAUUGUAAAUAUUUUUUCUUUUCAAAGACACCACUAAAUUAUUCUUUUCUAUUUUUUUUGUCUCUACACUAUAAGCAAGAAAUCUACAAUUUUAGAUCAAAUCUAGCUGCUAUGUUAAAUAACAUUGGUUAAAAGUAGCAGAGCAUAUAUUUAGCUCAUUUUGACACGAAAAGAAAGAAAGCACAUAAAAAUAGUCGAAAAAGUAGUUGAAAACAACUCGAUAGAAGCCUUCAAUGAAUCCAUAUUAGAGACUCAUUUGCAUUUUUCCUACGAUAUGACCAGUGUUUCUUAAUAAAGUUGUUAGAUUUGUCUAAAACAAUAGAUUUAUUAAUAGUAAUGUAGAGGUUGAUGAGGGGAAAAAAAAAAUACUGAUAUAUAUGAGAAAAGAAGGUAGUAUAGGGUAGAAUAUGAAAAUAAAUCUAAAAUACAGCACAGAGAUUGAUAAAAAAUGAUAGUAUAAUGGUGUUUUUGGGGAAAAAAAAAAAACGAUGUAGCAAAUAAAAAUAACAUUAAAGCACCUUAUAGCAGGGUGUAAUUAAGCCAUUAGAAAAUUUAGUCUGUGAAAUCUGACUUGAAUAUUAAUUUCGUACUCUCAAUUGUAACAAUUUUGUCCCUGAAGAUUGGCCUACUACAUAUGUCAUCCUCAGAAGUUCAACUUAGUCCCAAAAGUUUUCAUCCCUGUUUCAAUCUCAGAAGUUUGAUUUCAGUUUGGUCACUGUAAUUUGCUUCCAAUUUUGUCCUAAAAAAUUUCGAUUUUAAACAAAGAUCUGACAAUGGUGUGGCGUGGAACUUUCAGCGACUGAAUUGUUAAAAUCGAAACUCUGGGAAUUAAACUGAAAUCAAAGUCUCAAGUUCUGUAUUUUUUUUUUUUAAUUAAACCCUUUGUUUUCUAUGCAGUUACUUGAUUGCAGAGGGUUGAAAAUCAGAUAAAUCUUAUAAUUUGAUGUUCAUUAUCUGGUGUACCAUAAUUUUUUCCAGGAUUCUCUUUUUGAGUUGGUCUAGAACCAUUCUAACAUAACAGGCAGUGAAGAAAGGAUUAUCUUUUUCUUCUUCAUCUCCGUAAUUCCAGUGCUUUUACAGUUUCUUAAAAGAGGAAUCCGAGAAAAAGAAGCCAAAGAAAAUGGAUAUGGGGGAUCUUUUUGAUUCCAUAUCUGGAGAAGGGUUUUCAAAUAAGCGACAAAGAUCGAUGGCUGGAACAACAAAUGGACGGUCAGAUCGGAGAGUAGCAGCACGUUUUCGAAGAAUACCAGCACUUAACAUUCAAGAUGAGAAUUAACUAGAUGAAGCUCUAAUGGUAUAUCUCCAAUAUAAUCAUUAUAGCUUAAUAUGCUUUCAUUGUUACAAUUUACAUCAGGCUCUGGAUUCCCUGGUUAAGUCACAUUGCAUUUAAAUUCAGCUCGACUUGUGGACUUCAUUGCAUGUGAAGUUGUUGUUUGCGGACAUGAUUGGAUUACUUUAGUUCGAUAAACAUUGACUAUAAAAAGUUUCUAUAGCCUUUUUUUUUGUCUUUUUCUAAUGCCAUAAAAUUUCACUUCUUCUCUAACAGUAAUAUACUCGUCAGGAAAGCUGGUUCAAUGCAAGGCAUAAAAACCGAGACAAAGUCGGCUGGAAAUAACUUCUUAUGGGUAUAAAUAUGAAGGAUUAGUAUAAUUAAUUCCGAGCCAGUUAGAUGCUACGUCACGCCAUCCCAAAUUGCAGCAUUAUGCCCGAAACGCAAUGCUUGUGAUAUAUCUGUCUGAUAUAAGUUUGGUGAGAAAGUUUUCUUUUCGAUUCCUUUUACUCUUGUUAAUGUUCGAGCUUUGGCCAUGAGCUUUAAUGUUGUGUAUAUAUAUAUAUAUAUAUAAUCAAUUUUCUUUCUCUUUCUAGGAAUAUAAAACUGUCUUUUCCCUUGCUCAGUGAUAGGUUUUGAUUGUGUAAUAUUCAUGUAAUAGUUUCCGCGUCGUGUUUUCAGUGAAUUCUCCUUGAGACAAUUUAUGUCAUCACUACGCAUUUAUCAAUGUUUUAACAUCCGUUUCAUUAAGACUCUAAUACGAGAACAACUCUGUAAUCUUACUGAUUCUCUAACUUUGCUGUGUCUUAAUAAUUGUUCAGUUUAACUGACUCUUAAAUGACAUAUCCGCACAGAAAUUUUGUUUUAAAAAUUAUUAAAUUCAAUCAAAAUUAGAGGCUAAUCUCACAGGUGUUUCUGCAAAUCUAUUUUUAUGCUAUAGUACCUUGCUACGCUGCUAUGUGAGAAAUGUAUUUUAAAAAUGGUUAAAUCCAAUAAGAAACGGGUUAGUUGAAUCGUUGGUUUUCCAUCUUUUCCCAGUUCUUCAGUUUAGUCCCUAGUGUGGUGCUUUUUGCAAUUAAAUCGUGGCUGAGUUACACUCAAGGCAUGCGAUAUUUUGGUCCUCAACUUUAAUUUAUUGUAAUAUUUAGUCUAAACUUUCUGUACUAUUGCAAUCAAGUCUUAUAACUCUAUUUAGUUAAUCGAAUAUUGACGCAUCGCUGACAUAAAAAUAAUGUAAUAUUUUAUAACGAUGUAAAAGUGAAGUAAUAUUUUAAUUAUUAUUGCUGAUUUCCUCCACUGUUCAUAAAGAGAGGAGCUAAAAUAAAGAAAAAGAAAAACUAAUUUCUUCUCCCCAUUCUCCACUAUAUCUUUUGUUUAUUCUAUGGGCUCAGUAUUGAAAGAAUCUUCAUCUACCUGCAAUGAUCCUUCUCAUAGAAGGAGAAAUUCUUUAUAUCUUGGGAUGGUAUUCUCAGUUAAUUCCGCACGAAUAACGAGAAUGCACUUUAGGGCGGUGCUACGCAUAUUUAUGGGUCGAUCAAAAUUUUGAAUUUCUUCUUUUAUAAUUUUUAAAUUUUAGCGUUCAUUUGUAAGCAUGAUUUUAUCUUUUAUCAAUAAAUUAGUUAGAUUUUAAAUCCAAUUAAAUUUAAUCAGUCCAAAUUAUCUAACAAUAAGGAACACAAAAGGUGCAACUGGGCGGAGGAGCAAGGGGGUUUUGCUCACAGGUUAUUGAGAGUGGAGAGUGAACAGAGAGUUUCUUGUACUAUACUAUAUACGCUGGACCCCUAUUGAGUUAUCAGAGGACGGGAUUUUUUUUUUAUUUUAAGACUUUAAAAAUUUAUAAUUGGUCAAAUAAUCUUGUAAAAAAAUUAUUUGUUGAAAUAAAUCUAUUUUAUCUAACUCACUGUCGGAGUAUAAAAAUAAUUAAAAGAUGGUCAAUCAUUGGUCAAUCAUUUACCACCGUUUAAUAGAAUUUAGAAUACGGUAAAUAAUUCGCCGUCUUUUUCUUAUCUGUUAGGGGUGGUAAAUUAUUCACCAUCUUUUUCUUAAAGUAUGGUGAAUGAUUUAUCGUUUGUUUUCAUGCCCGAUAUAUAAUCUUAACCACCAUAUAAAGAUUUCAACAAAUCACAUAUAAUUUUAACAACUUAAAAUAUCCUAACAACCUAUCCAUAUAAUUUUAACUAUAAAUAAAAAUUUAACGGUGAAUCAUCCACAGCUUUUUGAAGCCUGUUUUUCAGGUUAGUUGGCCAAAUUAAAUUUUGAAAGGAUUAUUUGGUAAAUUAGAAAUUUUAUAGGAUUACUUUGAAAAAAAAGUACUCCCAGGUGUGGGGCAUUGAUGGAUUAGCUUUCUUUUGCUUUUGUUUAUUUUAUUGUACUUUUUUAAGGAAUUAAUGCACUAAAUAAAAGGGUUUUUUUUUUUUUUUUUUUUUUUUUUUUUUUUUUUUGCAGAANUCUAUGUUUGUGGCUGUGGCCUCUAUUUCUAUUUCGUAAAAGCAAAAAUUAACUAUUUGAUUUUAAAAAAAAUAUUUAUAAAAAUUUUACUGUAGCAGAAUUAGAACCAAAGUGAGCUCUUUUCAUAGAAGCAGAAUUUUGAGCUAUCAAAAAGAAUGAUAAUUUAGUGCUUCAAGAAUUUGCCUGUUUCGAGCUACAGAAGUAAUCAAACCAUCCCACCAGCACGCACCAGCAAGCAUGCAGCUAAAAUGAUCAGUCCCUUCGUAAUUUCCUUUCUCCAUCAACUUUGAGCUCCUGCACAUGAGCCCCAUCAACGGAUGUCAUUAAUUAGUGUGAACCUGCUACUGCUACUGCUACUGCUACUGCUACUGCUACAUACACGUUGGAAUAAAAAUUGCCUGGGGAUGAAACUCCAAAUUUAUCUAUUUGGGACCGCGCGUGGAAUCUAUCGUCACAUGAGUGUGGGAUCCCACGUACGUACGUCUUGAAGUGCUUUACUUAAUUAGGAUGAACGUUGACGUUGGCCUUUUUAAUUUAGGACCCGUUAUAUUGAAAUGAAAUUUUUAAAAUAAAAUUUUAGUUUUUGAACGUAAUAUCAAAUUAUUUUUCAAACUUUUAAUUUUCAAGCUAACAUAAUAUUUUAGUUAAACCCACCAAAGGUUUAGACAAUACUCGGUGGAUUUCUAAUUAAUAUUCAAAAUAAAAUAAAUUUAUCCAAAAUAAAAUAAUAAUCUCAAAAAAGUAAAAAAAAAUUUAAGAGCUUGAAAACCAAUUUGACAUUAAGUUUAGUAAUCUGAAGUUUAUCUGAAUACUUUUUUAAUUUUUUAAAUUUCUUUUCUUAUAUAUUUUUUUAAUGUGUGUUAGAUUUUGCCUUGGAGCGUGGGAUUCGAUGCCCAUGCGGCGACGGAUCCCAUAAUCUCAAAUGGAUAAUUUAGGAUUUCAUCCCCCACAAUUUUUGUCCAUCCACAUAGUAAGCAUGAUCGGUCCCCCCGACCAUCCUUCUUUAAGAAGAUUGUCAAUUGUGCGGAUUCUCUUCCUACGGACCAAUCAAAUUAAAACCUUUGUUUUUACAUACAUUUUAAGUCUCUAGGUCCUCAUUGAUGAGGUGUCACCUACUCGCGUACUCCCCUAUCGCUAAGUAGUAUAUACGCUGACUAGAUUGUGAACCUUAUUGAAGCAUCAAAUCAAACCACAUUGAGCCGGUUCAACCAACUUACUAAAUCAAAAUCAAUUCGGAAUCAAGAGGACAACCCAAACCACACCAAACGAUCCAACCGCACCGAACACAACUUGAUAGUUUUAGAAUUUGUAAAUUUGUUUCCUAUUCUUGAGAGUGUAUGGUUGUAACCUCCUCCACAAUAUAGGAGUAACCUCCUCCACAAUAAGAGUGAGAAGUACUCCUUUAGUUGUAUAAGUUUCUCAAUAGGACAUUAAUGAAGUGUGUGGUCUACUAAUUUCUUUAUGGUAUCAGAGCCACGCUAAGGAACCAAAGAUCUUAAAAAAAAAAAUGGCAUCCUUAUCUAACCCGAAAUUUCCCUUUCCCUCCACCAUUAAUGUGGCAAAUUUCGUCACAUUGAAGCUCAAUGACAACAACUAUCUGCUCUGGGAAACACAAGUAUUGUCACUGAUCGAGAGUCAGGACUAACUUGGUUUCCUCAUGGUGGAGACUAUCACACCACCUAAGAUGUCGACUUCAGAAAGUGGAGCCACCGUCAAUAACCCAGACUACACAUCUUGGGUACGAACCGAUCGCCUUGUGAAAUCAUGGAUCGUGGGCACUCUCUCCGAAGAGGUUCUCGGCCAUGCCGUCGGUCUUCAAACUGCAGCUGAAGUGUGGACAGCAUUAACCAAUCACUUCAAGCAAAGCUCGAUCGCCCGUGAAUUCGACCUACUCGCACAGCUGCAACACAUCAGGAAAGGAAAUAAUCCUUUACCUACUUAUCUUCGUAAUCUUAACUCAAUUUGUGAUCAACUGCAUGCUAUUGGCAAACCUGUUUCGGAUUCUACCAAAGUUUUCAGGUUACUAGAAGGGCUCGAUGAAAGCUAUGAGCCAUUCAAGACAACUAUGUUCCGACCUCCUAUUCCGCUAUAUACAGAGGUGGUUCCCCAACUCCAAAGCUAUGAAUUACGAAUCAAGCGACACUCAAGCCCAACUCCUGAUGUGUCUAUGGCUUUUGUGUCCCAAUGGGGACGCGGAAGCAAUCGGUACAGAGGUCGAGGUAGAGGCCAUAACUUCAACUCUCAAGGCCGGGGUUUUCCUCAGACGACCCAAGGUGGCAGAUCAGAGGGCUAUCAAUCUACUCCGCCGCCUGGGGCUGAUCGUGCAGUCUUGACUUCCUCUACCGGCAACAAUCCUCUCACUUGUCAAAUUUGUAAAAAGCGAGGCCAUGAUGCUCUGCGAUGCUGGUUUCGAUUCGAUAACAGCUAUCAAAGUGACGACAUUCCCCGUGGUCUAGCUGCUCUCCAUAUCACUGAUGUACAUGAUGAUGAAUGGCAUUCCAACACUGGUGCUAAUGCUCAUAUCACAGAUAAGCCAGGUAACCUUACUAACUUGGUUCCUUAUUCUGGAUCUGAUAGUGUGAUGGUAGGAGAUGGAACUUCCCUACCGAUUACUCAUGUGGGUACGGGCUCUUUUGGUAAUGGUAUUCAUCGCUUUUCGCUUUCUAAUGUCCUGGUUGUCCCGCAAAUGAAGAAAAAUCUUCUCUCUGUUUCCAAAUUGACAACAGAUCAUCCCUGUUAUUUUAAAUUUGAUGCAUCUGGUUUUUCUAUUAAGGAUUCCAAGACACACCAAGUACUAAUGACGGGAAAUAAUCAUCAAGGGUUGUACACCAAUAAAGAUCCGCAGCUUGCAGCUUUCUUCUCUCAGCGAAAUAAGGCGACCGAUGAACUCACUUGGCAUCGUCGAUUGGGCCAUCCGAAUAGCCAAAUCUUGCAGCAUUUGCGGAGUAAUAAUUUAAUUUCAGUAACUAAGUCUUCUGGCACUUUGUGUACAAGCUGUCAGAUCAGCAAAAGUUCAAAAUUACCAUUCUAUAUAUCUAAUUCUCGAUGUUCUUUUCCUUUGAAUAAAUUACAUUGUGAUAUUUGGGGACCAGCGCCGGUAUCUUCAAUGCAACAGUUUCGAUAUUAUGUAGUAUUUAUUGAUGAUUUUUCUCGUUACUGUUGGUUAUAUCCAUUGAAGCGCAAAUCAGAUUUUUUGGAUAUUUUUCUCACCUUUCAAAAAUUGGUUGAAAAUCAAUUUGAAAGAAAAAUUAAAAAUUUUCAAUCGGAUGGCGGGGGUGAAUUUAUUAGUAAUGUCUUUCUUUCUCAUCUUCGUAAUGUUAAGGAUUUUCUAGGUUGGCGGAUUUCGUAAAGUCGAAUGGAGUCUUGAAGAGUCAAACACGGAGUUUUGAAACUAAGAUUCAAUUUGAAGAUCAAAGACUCAUUCGGAAAGCUCGGCACCUCAGGUAUGAAGAAUAGAUCAUUUAUGGUGAUUUUAAUUGAUUAAAAUAAGUUUAGAAGACUUAGAUUGCAUUAAAAAGUUAAAUCUGAACAUUUUAGUAUUCUGGGACCGGUCCCUGAAAUGGAGAGACUGGUUCCCCUAAGGUCCUCACUGCGUGAAUGUUGAGGCAACCGGUCCCCUGAGAUGAGAGACCGGUCCCCGAGGGUCCUCUAUGCGUGGAAAGUUGAGGCAACCGGUCUCUGAAAAGUGAGACCGGUUCCAGAGCGAUGGAUUUUCUGUCACGCAGUGAGGGACCGGUCUCUGGAUGAGAGACCGGUUCCCGAAGCCGGUUUUUUUCAGGUACGCAACGAGGAACCGGUUUCCCACUCGAGGGACCGGUCUCCCAAAGACCGGUCUCCUCAAGAGGACUGGUCCCUGAGAACGUCAUCAGUUUUUAAACUUGGCUUUUUGCAAUCCUAGUCGGCUUCUAAGUCUUUUAAACCUAUAAAUAUGAUAUGAGGGUACCUAUAUGAAAUAUGCUUCAAAAGAUAAUCAUUUAGAAACUCAAAAACUUGAUUUGGAGCUUUUGAUCUAUGUUUUAAAUAUCAAGUUCUUAGAUCAUCAAUUUGAUUCUUUGAUUACAAUUCAAUUGUUCCUUGAGGAUCAAAUUGAUGACGUUCUAAGAAGGGUUUUUCCUCAUGUCAUACAUGCUUUCCAAGUAAUCAAAUCACCACAAAUCAUUUUCUCUACAAGCUCCGGACGGAGGAUUUGCGCAUGGAUCGCGUGUGAUGCCGAGGAUUCGGUGGACGCAUCGAGGAGUCGAGGCGUUGAUGCAGCAAGGACUUGCGGCGUGAUCGGUUGGAGGAUUCUAAGCGAUCGAGGACCGGCGAAGACAAUCUACGACGAGGAUUCGGUAAAUUGAGUCGUGUAUUUUUUUUUAAAUUACUUGUACUCAAGUUUUCUUAGUGGAUUUCAUCGUGUGAUCGGUCCCGUGGGUUUUUCUCUCCGAAUUGGAGUUUUCCCACGUUAAAACUCGGUGUGUUGUUUUUAUUUUCCGCAUUCUCUUUUAAUUUACAUCGGGUUUAUUUGUUUUUGCCAUUUUACACCUAUUCAUCCCCCUCUAGUAGUUCCCAGUGGGUUCGGCCGCCGACUCCGCCGAUCUCCCCACUAGGUUUAAGCAGGCACAGAUAAAUAUGCAGAUAGAUAGAUAUUCUGCUGAAUUAAAAGCAUCAAUAAUAAACAGGCAGGUAUAUAGAAUGAACAUCUAACUAUGCCUCAAUCUGAAAUGAUGCAUGCAUCUGUCAUAAGGCAAGGCUAAGUAACCAACUACUAUGCACAACAAUAAUAGGACUCAUCCGGUUACCCAAUCUCUCGGCGAACUCAAGGCUCGCUCACAGUCUCACGUGUGUAAGUCUCAUAGGGGAGGAGGCUAACUGCUCGGUUACCCCCGAGACCGCCUGCGGACAGCUACAAUGGUCCAAGGGCAUCUACAAUGGCCUCCCUCGAGAGACGACCUCCGGAGUGCACUACCUGUGUGGAGCUACCACAACAGGCACAGACAGGCUAUGUGAGCUCGAUCCAAUCUCAUGAACUGGGAACACCCUACCAACUAAGGUUGGUCUCAACAUAGAAUCAAAGUAUUCUAAUUCUCAAUCUCAUAGUGUUCGACUACACUAAGGUGUUCAUGUUUCAUAUCGACUAGAUGCCACUCGUUCUGUGUUCAUUGUCAACUAGAUGCCACUCGUUCUCAAUACACUAGUUUGCAAUAUACUAGGUCCUUAUUCACAUAAACAUGUUCAUCACAUAUAGGGUUACUAUCUCAUGUUCAACUCAUGCAUACUAGGUUCUCAUUCACUAUAUCCGCGAAACCAAAUUAACACUAGCAUGCAAUAAUAUGUAACAAUUACAUUUAACACCCUAUAAUGCUAUAUUACAAUAUGUAAUUUGAUCGAUGAUAGAACUUAGACAUAGAGAGCAGUUCAACUGCUUUGGGAUGGCACUCCCCCACCUUUUGGUAGCGUCGUAAAGCUAGAAAACUCGACGUCGCGGUCCUCGUACGUCGCUUCAACUCAUCGGGGCAAAACGAACCCUCAAGUACUUGUUUUGGCGAUAACUCCGCACUCGCUCGUCGGAUCGACGAGUCAUCUUCACCAACGCGUUCAUAGACCUAGCAAUUAGGUUUACGACCCAUCAAAAUAGAUCAAAACCCUAGAUUUGCUAAAACCCCAAAUCGGAGCCUUAGGUCUCAACAAUGGAGAAAUCCAUGAUUAAAGCCCUAAAUUUGAGCUAGAAUCAUCUACUCAACUCCCUUAGGUUCCAUUCGAACUAUUUCUACACCAUAAAACCCAAGUUCAAGGGAUUCACCAUUGUAGGGUUGAGACUUACCUUCAAAAGCUUGCUCCAACAAGAGGAAGAAGAUGAGGAAGAUGAUCUUCUUCUUUGUCUUCUUCUUCUUCUUUGUCUUCUUCUUCUUCUACUUCUUCUCCUUCCUCUCCUCCUCUUUCUUCUUCUCCUCCUCUUGCUUCUAGAGAGAAAGAGAGCAAUGUAAGUGUGGGACUGGGAGAGAAAUGAGAGAACGUGAGGGAGAGAGUGGUCCCCAAGCCCUCAUAACGGCAGUUUCGCAAAUAACCCCCUCAACUUUUCAUUUUCUGAAACAACCCACACUGGGCUGAUUUCGGGUAUGGGGACCGGUCCCCUGGAGGGGAGGACCAGUCCCCCGAGAGCUGUCCAAAAUUACGCGUACGGGAACCGGUCCCCACCCUGAGGGACCGGUCCCCGAGAGCUUUCUCCGAAAACAAGGCUACGGGAACCGGUCCCCUCCCAGAGGGACCGGUCCCCGAGAGCAUGAAAUCUGCUCCUUGAGCAGAUUUCACUCCAAGCUCUCGUGGGUCCGUCCUCAAUGCACUUUUGGUGUUUUUGAUGUUCUCGGACUUUCCGAAGCACACCAACUCGACAAUUAGUCGAUUUUAAACAAAGUCUAAUUCUCGAAUUUCGAGAAUUCACUUUCCUUACACUUAAGCUUUGCUACCAAUUGUUGGAAAUCUAAUACUCGCCUUGAAACCAGAUCUUGAGAAUCUGUAACCCGCUCUGAUACCGGCCGUUGUUGAUUCGGUAUCAGAUAUUGGGAUUCUGCAACGGAAGUGUCGAAUCGGGUUUUUACCACAAACUCGUCUCCUCAGCAAAAGAUGAUAUAAUCAUAAAAGAGAGAAAACCAGACAAAAAAUAUGUGGGUAAAAUAAGGUUCAUUACAUAAGAGAAGAUUAUACCCGACUCCUUUUCUUCAUAGAGUAGCUACAACCCGAGCCCUCUUUCUGAAUCUCUCCUACCCUUCUCUCGUCUUUUGUAAAUCUAAAAGACAACUCUCUUUCUCUCUCACAUGCACCCGUGCACUAGGUGCGCACAACCAAGCCUAGACUUCUCCACCGCAUGAUCACCACCAUAAAAGGCUCUCUCUCACCCAUACACCACCUAAGCUCGCUUUCUGCGCUAUACUAUCUUCCAAAAGCAACCCACAUGGUAUUUAUAUAAUCCUUAUAAUAGAACGUACCUCAAUCCUAGUAUAAUUAGGAUUCCUACUCCAAAUAAUAUUUAAAUCUAGGCUAAAUUACAGAAAACCCCCUAUCAAUACCCCAUUUUUUACUUUGCCUCCCUAUUAUUUAAAACCUACACUUUGCCCCCUUGUAAAAUAAAAAAUGUUCACUUCACCCCCUACCGUUAGUGCUCCAUUAGGGUUCCAUUUAUAAAAUAUUAUUAUAUAUUUUUUUAUACUAAAAAUACCUUCAGCUUUCUUUUCUCAACAUUGCUGCCUCGCCCUCUUCCGCCUCGUCACCUCGCCCUCCUCCGCUACUUCGCCCUCGCCCACAUCUUCGUUCACGCCCACAAACACCCCCUCACCUUUCUCCGCUGCCUUGCCUUCGCCCUCGCCUUUGCCCACCCCUCCAUCCACGCCCAUCUCAAUUUCCUCCCUACUAUCGUCAAAAUGGAGGCGAUGAGGAUGCAGGAGUAGAAAGGAAGCAGGUGGAAAAGAAAAUAGAAACAAAUUACAGCCGAUCGAGGCACAAAAAAUGGAAGAGAAGAUGUGACGGAUGAGCAAUAUUGGGGAGGAGACGAAAAUAGUGAAAGACAAAUUGGUCAUUUUGUCAUCAUAGUUCACACCGUACCCCCCUGUGUUUUUCAUUUUAUAAGGGGACAAAGUAUAGAUUUUUAAUGAUAGGGGGGAAAAGUGAAAAAACGGGUAUUGACAAGCGGGCAAAAUGUAAUUUAGCCUUAAAUCUAUAUUUAAUUUAUCUCCAAUAUAUUUAAAUAUGUAUCCUAAUCUAGUUAGAUUUAUACUCUAAUUAAUAUUUAAAUCCUAAUUUAUCUCCAAUAGAUUUAAAUUUAAUUUUUAUCAAACUAAAAAAUCAACUACAAAUCUAAUCAAAUCCUAACGCCGGCUAUUUAUAAAGAAUCCACAAAACUCUCUUACAUUUUAAUAUUCAACAAUGUAAUACUAACAAAAAAAAAUAUAGAUCUUUCAGUGAAUAAUGUGUAACUAGUAUAGUAAUUCGUACAAUGCGACAGAUAGAUAAUUAGAAAAUGAAAAUAGAAAACGGCGAUAAAAGAAGAGAAAACAUCGAUGUAAGAAGUGACGAAAAUAGGUGGGAUUCAUCUUACCGAUGAAGGAAGGUAACAGCCGAAGGAAGUGAAAGAGAAACAUUUCGGCCGAAUGCAGAGAAGUGAUGCAAUUCGGUUCAAGCAAAAAAAGAGAAAAACCUAGUUUGAUUCAAGCAAAGAAAGACAAGAAUAUAUAGAGGACUUGAGCCGAUUUGGGGGAGCUCGUACUCAAUAAUGAUUGGUUCGGUUCAAGCAAAAAAAGAGAAAAAUUCUGUUCAGUUCAAGCAAAGAAAGAGAAAAAUAUUUGAAGGACUUGUGCCAGUUCGGAGUGGAACCCACACCCAACAAUGAAGGGAAUGUUGCCAUGUGGCAAAUUUCGAGAGAAUAAUAUAUAGGUAUAGAUAGAUAGAUAUAUAGAAGUAAGAUUUACCUCUUAGCAAGGGAAUGUUUGAUUUUUCGGAAAAAAAUAUGAAAAAAAUAUUUUUAAGAAAAAAAUUUUAUGAAAAAAAUUCUUUUUUAAUUUUUCACAUAUUUGGUUUGAAGGACAAUAAGUAUUUUUGAAAAUAAUUUUUUUAUAUUUCAUAGUAAACUAGUUUUUACAUUUGUUAAUUUUUUUGGGAAAUAGAAAAUACUAAUUUUUUAUAAAAAUUUUAUUUUUUUUAAGACUCAAAUGGUGAAAGGCCAAUUUGCAUAAAAAAAUCCACUAAUUUUGGGCUUUUGCAAAAGUGGGACACCUUUUUCGUUUUUACAGAUUCGGUCUGAUUUUUUAGCAAACUGACCAAAAUACCCUUAUACCUUUUUCUCUCUCCUCUUUUUUUAUCUCGUUCUUUUUUUCUUUCUCUUCCCAGAGAGUGGCAGAGACAGAGGCGGAGGUGGAGGCGGCCUACUUCGAUUUUGUUCGGCAUACCCUUACCAUCGCCCGCACACCCCCCACCUUCCUCGCCUCCGACCCCGCCGAGGCCACGCCGCGACUCUUUUUUUUUCCUCUCCAACUCUCCUCCACUGUCUCCGACGACGACGUCUCUCUCGCCCUUCCCCGCUCUUCUCGUCCCCUCCUUCUCCCUCCUCCUCUGCCGCCUCCGACGAUGACGCAUCUUCACUGGCACCGGCGCCGACGUCGACACCGUGGAGGUCACUGCGGCGCUGCAGCCUCGGAGCGAAGGGUCCUUAGCGGCGUCGUCACCAGCGCCGUAGCCAUUAACAGAGAGGGGUGACCAAAAAAAAUUAUAGAAGAAGUAAGAAAAAAAAAAAUAAAGAUAAAAAAUUAUAGAAAAAGAAGAAUGAAGAUGAAAUUGUAUCGUUAAUUACAAAAAAAUUAUAAGUUGCACUACUUAAGAUGUAAACUGCAGCUUUAAGAUGAAAAUUACACUUUUUAAACGAAAAUUACACUCUUUGGGAGAUAUUUACACUGUUUCUCCUCUUAUUGCACUCUUUCAGAUGUAAACUGCAUCCAUUAAGAUGAAAGUUACACUCUUUAAACGAAAGUUACACUCUUUGAGAGAUAUUUACACUGUUUCUCAUCUUCUUACACUCUUUGAGAUGUAAACUGCACCUCUUCAAGAGAUAUUUAUACUGUUUCUCCUCUUAUUGCACUAUUUCUCCUCUUGUUGUACUAUUUUUUCUCUUGUUACACUAUUUUUUAUCUUAAAUUGCACCCUUUAAGAGAAGAAAUACUGCAACAAGAGGAGAAAUAGUGCAACAAGAGGAAAAGCAGUGCAACAAGAGGAGAAACAGUAUAAAUAUCUCUUAAAUGGGUGCAGUUUACAUCUCAAAGAGUGCAAGAAGAGGAGAAACAGUAUAAAUAUCUCUCAAAGAGUGCAACUUUUGUUUAAAGAGUGCAAUUUUCAUCUUAAUGGAUGCAGUUUAUAUCUGAAAGAGUGCAAUAAGAGAAAAAAUAGUGUAAAUAUCUCUCAAAGAGUGUAAUUUUUGUUUAAAGAGUAUAAUUUUCAUCUUAAAACUACAGUUUACAUCUUAAAUAGUGCAACUUAUAAUUUUUUUUGCAUUUAACGAUGCAAUUUCAUCUUCAUCCUUCUUUAUUUUAUAAUUUUUUAUCUUUAUUUUUUUUUUCUUGCUUCUUCUAUAAUAUUUUUUGGUCACCCCUCUCUGGCGACGACACCGCUAAGGACCUCCCGCUCCGAGACUGCAGCGCCGUAGUGACCUCCACGGUGUUGGCGUCGGCAAAAAUGCGUCGUCGUCGGAGGCGGCAGAGGAGGAGGGAGAGGGAGAGGACGAGAAGGGCGGGAAAGAGCAAGAGAAGCGUCGUCGUCGAAGACGAUGGAGGAGAGUCAGAGAGGAAAAAAAAAUCCUUUGCGGCACCGAUGUCAGCGGAGAAGUGUCGUCGUCAGAGGUGGCGGAAAAGGUGAAAGAGGAGGGAGAGGGAAAAGGCGAGAAAGACGAGAGAGGGUGAGAUAGUCGUCGUCGGUGGAGGAGGGUCGGAGAGAAGGAAAAAAAAGUCGCAGUGCGGCCUCGGCGGUGUCAAAGGCGAGGAAGGCGGGGAGUGUCCGGGCGAGGGUAAGGAUGCGUCGGACAAAAUCGAAGCAGGCCGCCUCCGCCUCCGCCUCCGCCUCUCUGGGAAGAGAAAAAAAAAAGAACGAGAGAAAAAAGAGGAGAGAGAAAAAGGUAUAAGGAUAUUUUAGUCAGUUUGUUGAAAAAUCGAACCGAACCUACAAAAAUGAAAAAGGUGGCCCACUUUUGCAAAAGCCCAACAUUAGUGAAUUUUUUAUGCAAAUUUGCCACGGUGAAAAUCUAGAAAAAUACUUUUUUAUAUAUAUAUUUUUUUUCUCAGCAACCUUUUUCCCAGCUUUUCGGGCGAACCCAACACGUCCUAAUGUAGGCAUGCUAGUGUUUUUUCCCUAGGUCUGGUCUAUGGAUGACCUGGUGAACCGAAUCCUUUGGAAAAAACUUGCCCGUGAAAUUGGUCCUACGCGAGUUCGCUCAGUAGAUCGGGAAACCCUCCGUUCCGUUCCGUUCCAUUUCUCCGUCAUAAAUCUCUCCGUCUCUCUCUCUCCGUCUCUUUCUCUCUCUCUCUUCGUCCUCUUCCUCCUCGUCCUCCUCGCGCGGUCGAUGAGUUGAUCCUACGUCGCAUUUCCCGAUCUAGGGUUAGGGUUAGGGUUUUGGUAUCGGAAUGUCGCAGAACGGGAAGCUGCUGCCGAACCUGGACCAGCAUAGCACGAAGGCGCUCAACCUCACAGUGCUCCAGCGGAUCGAUCCCUUCGUCGAGGAAAUCCUCAUCACCGCCGCCCACGUCACCUUCUACGAGUUCAACAUCGAUCUCAACCAAUGGGUAAUCGAUCGAUCCAUCGAUGCAUCCUCUUCUCGAUCCGAUUCUAUUCUUCGCUUUGUUCGCUCUUCUGAUUAGGGUUUUUACCGUCUUCGAAUUGUUUUCGCAGAGUCGCAAGGAUGUCGAGGGAUCGCUCUUUGUAGUGAAGAGGUGAGUAGGGUAUUGGGUGUUGAUCUCGUUUUGGUGAUUGGUUUUGUUGUGUUAUGCUGUCUGAGUUGGGUUAGUAUCAGAAAGAAGGGAUUUUUCUUUGCCUAUUUUUAUUCGAUUUCUUAGAUCUAGGCUUCUAAGUUUUGUAGAAUUUGGGUAGAUCUUCAUUGUACUCAGUUUUACGGAGUAUUUUUGUACUGAAAUGUUGGAAUCAUUCUGAAUACUGCGUUGAUAAGAGUGUUCGAUUUAUUGAUAUUCUGUUAAAAGUAGAAUAUUUAAAAUGGAAAAUGAAUUCUUUGCAGGAAUACACAGCCCAGAUUUCAGUUCAUUGUCAUGAAUAGACGCAAUACAGGUAUGGAUUUCUACUAUGCGAAUUUUUCUCCCGUUCAAUGGUUAAAAUAUUCUGCAUUCUCAUGGUAAGUGUAGGAAAAAGUUCAAUUUGUUUGUAAGAGACUAAGAGUAUAAAGUUAUGGGUGGAUCACUAGGAGGCAGGAUCAAAGCAACUUUUUUUCUUUGAUUUUCUCUUGUAAAGUGAUGAUGUUUGCUAGUUAAAAUGAUAAUAGAUAAUUUUAUCUUUAUUGGGUUGGAAAUUUUCUUGAUCAUAACUCAGCACAAAGUAUAAUAAUUGUGAUUGCCUAGUUAAAUGGCUUAUUGUUUUCCUACUAUUCUUUGUUUCAUUUGGUGGUAGAUAUUGAUAUAGUUUUCACUACCUUGUUUGCACAGAUAAUUUGGUUGAGGAUCUCUUGGGAGAUUUUGAGUAUGAAGUCCAGGUACCAUAUUUAUUGUACCGAAAUGCAGCACAAGAAGUUAAUGGAAUAUGGUUUUACAACUCUCAAGACUGUGAAGCGGUUGCAAAUCUUUUUAGCAGGUAAAUUGUUGUUCUCGCUUGCUGCCUCAUUUGCUCGCUAUAUCUUACGUGUAAGCUGAUCCACACUAUUGAAGAAGAUGCCAAAAGUUAUCAUUAUACUAAGUGUGGCCAAGAUGCCUAUAAAAGUGUCCCAAUUACCCCGCUUUCUGUUUUGCUUCUGUUGACUAAUAGGUUCGUCGUAACUUGCUAACCAAAGUAAUGACCUUUGUUAAUUGGUGGCCUGAUGAUGUCCCCUUAGCACUGCAUUCUCACUAGCUAGUAGACAAUGCAGAUCAAGUUAGAUAAAGUUCUUUUGUCUUGUUGGAAUUAGUACUUGGUUGUUAGCAGCCGGAGACACGACUUAUUUCUGAUUUAGCAUUUAAGGAAAAAGUAGAGUAUAAAUUGGUUUUCUGGAUUUGUUAGAGUUGUUAAAAUUAUUCUUAUUAUCUUAGAAACUUUCAUGCUUGAAAGUGUCCGGAUGAAAAUCUGUGCAACUGUUCAGCUUUCUCAUAAAUCAUUUAGAUCCUUAAUGAAGGAAAGUGGAAAAGGAGAUCAAAAUGGUUUAUUACAAGAAUUUCCAAAUGUAGAUGGGAGGUUUAGAUCCUUCUUUGGGUGUUGUAGUAGGCGUCAUAAUAGUCAUACAUAACUCAGAUCAAGACAUCUAGUAUAAGGUCCAAACUCCUAUUCUUUUUCAGUUAUUACAAGGCUUUAGCGUGAAACGGUUCCUUUCUAACUCUUGGCAUGUGUAGCGGUGAGGGUCCUUUGAUAGACAUUGAAGUAGUCAGACCUUGACACAACAUUAAGGUUGUUUUAUUGUUAUCGACGCAUCGUGGAUUAACCUGCAGGUCAUCCUUCAACAUUAUGAAGCUACCUCUCCAUAUUUGGUUUAUGCGUGCUUAACCUUUGUUACCUUUCUUACCUAACCAGAUCCAGAUUUAGCUCUUCAGGAUAGAGCUUUGAUUUUGAUAUUAGUGCAGCAUGACAAAGUAUUGUUGAUAUAGGUGUUAUAUACCAUUUAGUAUCAUUCUUGUCCUACUUUUCAAUAGCUACUGCUAGAGAAACUCUUUUUCUAGCUUCCAAAAUUAUGUACUUAUCAGAGCUCAUAUUUAGCUUGAGGUUUUUUUUUUUUUUUUUCUUCUUACCUGAUUAUUGUCUGUUUCUUUCUACUAAUCAAUCUAUUUAUUCAGGAUACUUAAUGCUUACUCGAAGGUCCCUCCAAAGCCCAAAGUAUCCUCAACAAAAAGGUAGCGCGCAAUAUUUCCUCCUAUGUUGAUUCAAAUGAAGAGAAAUUUUUCAAAUCAGUGACAAUCACUUGGUUUUAACUUGGUUCCCUUCCUGCAAUUAACCCUAACUCUACUGUGUUUGCUACUUCAAAUUCUGUUUGUUGUAGCGAAUCUUUUGCAAGCUGCCUCUUAAGCAAAUCAUUUUAUAAUCUUUUUGUUGCUGUUGGUUGGUUAUAUAAGUUUUGGGCAUGAAUGCGGUCUUAUAUAGUUUUUUCUAAUUACUAAAUGAAGUAAAUAAAAAUACUCUGAUUUUCGCUAAACCAGCUUCCUUUUUCUUGAUUUUCUUUUAUGGUUUCAUUAGUACAUAAAGUUUUAGCUUAAUCUAUUGUGGCUAUCUAGUGCCCAUUUUGUAUAACUCUCACUUAUUAAAGAUGAAGUAUUUCAUUCCUAACUGUACUGUAAUACUAGUAGUACACUAUACUCCUUCAAAGUGAAUUACAAAAAGAGGUGAUAAUGUCUUAUUUAAAGAAUUCAAUUCAUCCCUCACUUCCUUGUUGGAAACUUGGAAUUUAACUACUCUACCCCAGAGUUUGAAGCUUACACAGCUUUCAGUAGGUAGUAUGUGUUGUUAAGCAGUCUAAUUUACCUGAAUGAUUUGUUCUAAUUAAAGAACAAAAUAUUAUGCCUUGGAACUUUGGAAAUUAAAUAUAUGUGUAUUUCUGUAAAAAUAUAAACACUAGGUACUAUUUAUGGACAGUAGAAUAAUAACUGGCUUGGGAGAUUAGUUGCCAGAGUGAUAUGUUAUAAAUUAUUUGGAGCGCCUCUAUUAGAUAAAUAUACUCGAGGUAUAAUUUUCUAUUUUGCUUGGGGCAGUGAAUUUGAGGAACUAGAAGCAGUGCCUAGUUUAUCCGUAAUCGAAGGCCCUCUUGAACCACCAACAUCAUCUGCUGCUACACCUGCUUCGGAUGUUCCAGACGAUUCUUUUUUGAACUUUUUCAGUGUAUGUGUAUACCUUUGAUUUUUUUUUUUCACAUUAAUAUUGCAACCUCAGGUUCUUUAUAUCUUACUCGAUUGCUCUUUUCAAUGUCUACAUCCAUUGCCAAUAUUGCUUAAAAAAUUCUAGAUUUUUCAUCAAUAAUUAUGAAUUUAGCCCUGAAGUUGAUUCCGGUUUGAAUUAUCCCUGAGAUUUUUGAACUCUAACGUUUGGUUCGGGGAAUAAGCGGGGAUAACGAAAGUUAUCCCCGCUAUUCCGCCAAACGGGGUAAUGUUUUACCGGGAUAUUUUAUCCCGAUCAAACCUUGCUAUUCCCGGUUAUCUUGGAAUAGUAAGGGAUUUGCUAUUCCACCAUUUUGGUAGAAUAGUGCUAUUCCAAUGCUUAAUUUCAAACUUAAUUAAAAUUAUAAAUUGAAUUAAAACUAAAUUAUAUAAAUAUAAUAUGUUAUAUAUUAUAAUACAUUAUUUUUAUUAUAAAAUUAUUAAUUGUACUAUAUUAAUACAUAUUAUUUAUAUUUAAAUAUUAUAAUAAAAUUUUUUAUUUAAUUUUAGUUUAAGUAUAAUUUUUAAAAAAUUUAUAAAUUUAUUAUAAUAAAUUAUUUUUAUUAAUUAUUCACACCCCUAUUCUUAUUUUAAAAUUUUAAGAAUUAAAAAUUUAAAUUUUUAAAAUUUAUAAUUUGUAAUCUCAAAAUUAAAGUUUAAAAUUUUAAAUUUUAAAUUUAAAUUUUGAUAUUUUUAAUUUUUGAAAUUUAAAUUUGAUAUUUUAUAUUUUUCAAAUUUAAUUUGAUCUUAAAUUUAAAGUUUGAAUUAAAAUUUAAAAUUUUGAAUUUAAAAGUUGAGAUUUUAAAUUUAAAAUUUUAAUUUCAAAUUUUGAAAUUUCAAAGUUAAAAUUUUAAAUUUAAAAAUAUAAAUUUAAAAUUUUAAAAAUUCAAAUUCAAAUAUAAUAAGAGGGUAAUAUUAGUAUUUUUUAUUUAUAAAAAUCCACUAUCCUUUUUAAUCCAUCUUACCUAAUCAAAUGCUAUUUUUUUUAUUCUCAAGAAUAACCCAAUUUUCAUCCAAACGCAAAAUUGAUCUAAUCCCCGCUUAUACCUCAAUUUAUACCUAUCCCUGGAAUAGCCACUUUUCGCUUAUUCCCGAACCAAACGAUACCUAACAAAGUAUCUAAUUAUUCCCCAAAAUUUUUUACUGUGUAACAAUUGAGUACUUUGGUUAAUCUACCGGCUGGGAAAAGAUGCCACAUUUGACUUCAUAGUUAGAGUUUGCUGAUGUGGCAUUUUUUUUUUCAUUUUUGUGAGAUUGGUACUUGCAAGGCUUUGUUUAGAUGAUUGACCAAUAGAAGGACUUAAAUGUUACAUGGAACAAACUUGGGGACUAAAUUAUUAAAAUUGAAACUCUGAUGAUCUAUUGUGAGAUCAGGAUCACGCAUAAGGUACUAAAUUCUCAAUUAACCCUAUAUUUUUGUGUUAUGCACAAUUAACCCUUGGUGACCUAAUUAUUCAUAACAUUUGUACCUCAAAAACUGACAGCAAGCAAUAAGUAUGGGUAGCAAUGCAUCAAAUGCAUCCAUCGCAGCUCAACCACGGCAACCUUCUCCAAGUAUUCCUUUGACCUCCCAUGCACCAUCCGUCACACCAUCGCCACUUCCACCAUUUCAACCCUCUGCUUCUCCAGCGCCAUCUACUCCUCCCGUGGCACUUCUCGAAACUAAUGAAUCCAGCACUGCCAUCAAUAACCGUGCAGCAAAUCUAGUAAAACCCUCAUUUUUCUCGCCCACCCCAUCAUUAUCAUCAUCAGUGCCAUCAUCACCACCGCAGUUAGUGAUGCCACCAAUCUCAGCUUCCGCUGUCUCAGCUUCCGUGCCAACCGCACCUCCACUUCAUCCGCCUGUGACCAUGCAGCGGCCAUAUGGUGCUCCAUUACUUCAACCCUUUCCUCCACCCACUCCACCUCCUUCGCUCACCCCGGCUGCUACAACUUAUGGUCCGGUUAUUACAAGAGAUAAAGUUCGUGAGGCAUUAGCGAAGCUCGUACAGGUAUGAGUUCUAUUGUUUUGCUCUCUUUCUUGGUAUAUCUGAAACCAUCAUCUGUGGAUAUUGUGUAACAGCAUGCAUGAAAAAUUGCGCAAUUGGUAGUAUUGUGAAGUACUCAACUUUUCUGUCUUUCUUCAUCUUUUGAUAUACUUGUCUGCAAUUUUUGUAUAAUCUUUUUCUUUUAGAUCUUUUUCACAUCUUUAUCUCUCGCCAGUCCUACCUUUCUCUAUGAUUCAACGUUGGUCUUAAAAAUAUAUAGCUAAAUGACCAUUUGUUCAUCCACGUUAGAGCUUUUGGCUUUGAUGAUGAUAUCGAACUACUAUAGGAUGUUACAUUUAUUUAUGCAUAAUUUAACGAGUGCAUUCUUUUCCUCUUUUUUUUAUCCCCCUUUUUCAGGAUGAUCAUUUCAUUGAUAUAGUAUAUCGGGAGAUUUUGGAUGCUCAUCAAUCGUAAUUAAGACAGGAACGGAUCCCUUGCAUCAGUCCAUGUUGGCUUCUCAUUUCCUGUGUGUAGUAUGGAAUAUUCUAUUUCAAUAUUAAGAACCUUGUCUCGUACAUAUAUUUUUCGUGUGUGUAAAUGAGAAGAGUGACCGUUUGAUUUGGUUUGAGUUUUAUUUGGGACUGCGUAAAACACCUGUGUUAUUGUUAGCUUGAGAGAUUAAUGAACAGAUGCUUUUCCCAGAGUUGCUCUGGUUUUCCUAGUGUUUGAAUUUCUUUUGCUGUUGAAGAUUUUGUGGUGUUCUGCUCUCCAAAAAGAAAAAGAAAGUUUAUUCUGUUUUUUAUUGUAUUGGGUCCGCGAUGCUUUAUUUUAUUAUAGGCCUAUUUGGUGUGGAUGUGCUGCAUCAAUUGAGUUCUUAGGACAAGCAGUAUGAACAUUUUUGUUAAAUUCUAAUCAGCUUCUUGUAAUGGUAGACGUUCUAAAUUGGUGCUUUUUUGUUUGGUUGGUUUUUGUUACAUAUGGUGGCAUAAUGGUAAUGCUCUAGUUUGAGUAGCAACCAUCGAUGAUGGAAAUUUUGGAGAUCUGGUCGGCUAUGGUGAGAAUUUGGAAAAUUACUGAGUAUAUUUGAGCUUGAUUUGGUUCUGAAUUGAGUAGAUUGGGAUGGCUACAAUGAUGAUCGGCCAUCGAUUUUUUACGAUUUCAUCUCUGAGCCUCCAUUGUUGAUGAAGGAGCUUUUGGGUAGAUGAAGAUGCAGGAAUGGUGAAUAACAAGGAGGGAGAACGGGAGAGUGAGAGAGAUUUGGAAAGGAUAAAUUAUAAUUCUUAUUCUGUUUGAAAACAGUAACAAUUGUAGUUAUUUAUAGGUGGUUAAUGGGAGGACCGCAAUUAUGUAUUACAUGAGGACUAAUGUGCAACAUGGAAAUAUGGUUGUUCGGCCUGAGUUGGGCCUCUUUGCCAUUUGGAUCCGGUUCGCACGUGAAUGUUGUAAUGGGUCAAAUUUUCGUGAUUCAACGGAGCGAAUCCCGUUCGGAGAUCCAUUCAAUCCAGUCCCAUUAAAGCCAUCGAAGACUCCGCCCCUCAUCUUCGCUAUUGCUCCUUCCUCGGUUUCUGCUCCACCCAUCCUCUCGAGGCAUUCUCAAUACGCUUUGGGUUCUUCUCUGGGGUCCAAUGCUAGAUUCCUCUCACCAACCUACUAGAUGCACCCCUCUUCUCCCUCCUCCUUAUUCUUCCGUUACUAUAUGACUUUCCCGCCUUUAGUCUUACUAAUUUUUUUUUCCCCGGAUGUUACAAAUCCCUUUUUAAUGCUAAUUUUGGCUCUCAAGGAUCGAAGCUAAGAUAUUGCUGCUUAAGGGCCCAGUAAUCUUGCCAAGUAGUUGAUCCCUCGAGAAGGUUGCUCUAGUUCACCAACAUCUCAAUUGCUGCUCACCUCCACGCCUAACCAUGCAUGUUUUAAACACCUUUUUUGGUUCUGCCAAAAGUUGUCCCUCCUUUCCGAUUAAGGGCACAGUGAGUAUAACUUUGUUUGGUAAUUUGGGUUCUGUUUGAGUUGAGAAACAUAAAAUACGGUAUAUCUGUGAUCUCUCUAGUAAACGCAGUUUGUAUGCUACUUUUUUGCUAUACGUUCUGUGAUUUCAAAUGGUGGCAUUUUUAAGCGACUUAAUUACAUAUGGUGGCGUAAUGGUAAUGCUCUAGUUUGAGUAGCAACCAUCGAUGAUCUGGAGAUCUGGUCGGCUAUGGUGAGAAUUUGGAAAAUUACUGAGUAGAUCUGAGCUUGAUUUGGUUCCGAAUUGAGUAGAUUGGGAUGGCUACAAUGAUGAUUGACCACCGAUUUUUGAGGAUUUCAUUUCCGAGCCUCCAUUGUUGAUGAAUGAGCUUUCGGGUAGAUGAAGAUGCAGUAGUGGUAAAGAACAAGGAGGGAGAAGAGGAGAGUGAGUGUGAGAGAGAGAGAGGUGAGAGAGAUUUGGAAAGGAUAAAUUAUAAUUCUUAUUUUGUUUGAAAACAGUUACAACUGUAGUUAUUUAUAGGUGGUUAAUGGGGGGACCAAAAUGCAAUUAUGUAUCACAAGAGGACUAAUGUGCAACAUGAAAAUAUGGUUGUUCGACCUAAGGUGGGCCUCUUUGCCAUUUGGACCCAGUUCGUAUGUGAAUGUUGUAAUAGGUCAAAUUUCCGUGAUUCAACGGAGUGAACCCCGUUCGGAGAUCCAUUCAAUCCAGUCCUAUUAAAGCCAUUGAAGACGCCGCCCCUCAUCUUCGCCAUUGCUCCUUCCUCAGUCUCUGCUCCACCCAUCCUCUCGAGGCAUUCUCAAUACGCUUUGGGUUCUUCUCCGGGGUCCAAUGCUAGAUUCCUCUCAACAAUCUACUAGAUGCACCCCUCUUCUCCCUCUCCCUUAUCCUUCCGUUACUAUAUGACUUUCCCGCCUUUAGUCUUACUAAUUUUUUUUUCCCAGAUGUUACAAACCCCUUUUUAAUGUUAAUUCUUGCCCUCAAGGAUCGAAGCUAAGAUAUUGCUGCUUAAGGGCCCAGUAAUCUUGCCAAGUAGUUGAUCGGAUAGGAAUGAGAAUGUAAUUGGGUAUAUAAGAGGCUUAAACACUAGUAAUAAUAACUGAACUUAAGUAUUUUUAGCCGGUGUUUGGGCCCAACAAGUUAUUGUUGCUAGUGGGCUGGGCCAUUACAUUUGGUAUCAAAGCUGGUUCACUAGCCGAAAAUGUGUAACGAGUCUCAACUGAGCCAGGGUCUGAAAGAUAAGGUGAUAGGUUACGCCGGAGUCUGAAUGACAAGGUGACCGACUAUGCCAGGAUUUGGAUGACAAAGCUAGUGAGACGAGUCUCACAUCGCUUGGUGAUCUUGGGCUGUAUGUGUGAUUGGACUGACGAGGACGUCAGAGGGUCUGUCACACCCCAAUAAUCCACAUCGGAUAUGAACGGAGAUGUGAUUGAGUAUAUAAGAGACUUAGACACUUGUAAUAAUAAAAUAAAAAAAAAUAACUAAAGGCCAAAAACUAUAAAAUAAGGAAGAAAAACUAGAAAAAAAGGAAGAAGAAGAAGAAGUUGCACUGUUAUAGACAUAAGUUGCACUCUUUGAGAUGUAAACUGCAAUCUUUAAAAUAAAAAUUACACUCUUUAAACAAAAGUUGCACUCUUUGGGAGAUAAUUAUGCUGUUUCUCCUCCUCCUCCUCCUUCCCCUCCGCUUUCUCAUGCUUCUUCUACGUCCAACUCUUCUUCGCCCUCCAUCUCCACUGCAGCAAAUCUGGUAAAAUAAUUGUUGAAGGUGGAGGCAAAAAGGAGUUGGGCGUAGAAAAAGUACAAAAAAACGGAGAGAUAGGAGGAGGAGGAGGAGAAACAGUGUAACUAUCUUUUAAAGAGUACAACUUUUGUUUAAAAAAUAUAACUUUCAUCUUAAAGGUUAUAGUUUAUAUCUCAAAGAGUGCAACUUACGCUUACAACAGUACAAUUUCAUCUUUUCUUUCUUAUUAUCUAGUUUUUGGCCAUUAGUUAAUUUUCGCUUUGUUUUAAGCGAACAAAAGCACUUGAUCAAAGAGAUGCUCCCGUGCACCCCCUGCCUUCUUCACUUCUGACCCCGUCAAGGCCGCGUUGGGACGCCGCCUCCGCUUCCGCCUCCCUUUUCUCUGGCGUCAUCGCGCUCUCCAACGUCUCCACCUCGCUCGUCGCUGGUCCCAGAUGGGUGCGAUGGGCCGCGUGCUCCCUUCCUCACCGGCGAGUUUCUCGGCACUGAAAAGUGCUUCCUCUUCGUCAUCAUCAGCGGUGGUGAGGACGACAGGUUCUCAGAGAUGGGUUUGGUGUAUGGAAAAUCUGCUGUAGUGGAGGUGGAGGGUGAAGGCCGAGGAAGAGGAUGCGGUGCCGUCCUCCUUACCGUUGCAAAGGGCUGUAGAUGGUGGAGGAGGAUCAGAGAGAAAAAAAAAAGGCGGGGUUGGAGGCGAGGAAGGCGAGGGGUAAGCAGGCGCGAGCGAGGACACAUGGGGCGGAGGCGAGCGCAGCCUCAGCGGGGUGAAGGCGAGGAGGGCGGGGGGUGCACGGACGCCGGCGAGAGUGCACGGGGCAGAGGCGAGGCUGGCCACCUCUGCCUCUACCUCCGCUUCCGUCUUCGCCUCCCUCUUCGGAGAGAGAAAAAAAAAAAUAACGAGAGAAAAAAAAGGAGAGAGAGAAAGCAAUAAGUGUAUUUUAGUCAGUUUUCUGAAAAUCCGGACCGAAUCUGCAAAAUCCAAAAUAAUAGCCUACUUUUCUAAAAUCUCAAAAUUAAUAAAUUUUUUAAUUUUAUUAAAGCUCUACUAAAGUAAUUUAAAUAAUUAAUUUCAAUCCUCAUCACUUUCAUUGCCAACACGGUGCACGGAUGACGUGGUGGACCAGGGCCACGCAUGCUUCCUCUUCUUAUCCUCUCUCCCCUCCUUCGCCAUCCUUCGUUCUACGUCCUCGCGCGAGGAGCUCCCACUCCCUCCUCCCAUGGAAAAUCCCCUUAAUUAUCAUAAAUAAAAAGAAAAUAAGGAAAAAACCGUUGUUUAUUAAUUCAUGGAUUUUCUCUCUCUUCCCACCUCCUCCUACACCCCCUCCACCACUCUCUCUCUAAAACCCCCUCUCAAACCCUCCCCUCCCCUCCACCUCCACCUCUCCUCCCGCAAACCCUCUCCUCCUCUGCCGCCGCCGCCGUCGCCGUCGCCUCUCUCCGCCGCCGCACGUCGCCCCUCGAUCCCGUCUCUUCCCCAACCUCCCAAACCCUCCUCCUCCAAUCCCCUCUCCUCCAAGCUCUGGCUCUCAAGUAAGCUCGCCCCCCCUCCUCCUCCCCCUCCUCCCCCUCCCUUACCUCCACAAGAAGCCCUAUCUCCCGAUCCUCCCACCUCCGAUCCCCCUUCUCCGGCGCCGAGCCCCGAAUCUGCGUCGGCAAACGCUGAUUUCAGGGAACCCGGUAAGAUAUUCGUGGGUAACCUCCCGCUCUGGAUUAAGAAGAACGAGAUCGCCGAGUUCUUCCGCCAAUUCGGGCCGAUAAAGAAGGUGGAGCUCAUCAGAGGCCACGAGGACCCUGAGCGGAACGGAGGAGACGGCGGCGCGGGCGGUGGACUUCGACAGCGUGGAGUUCCACGGGAGGGUCCUUACGGUUCGGUUGGAUGAUGGGAGGAGAAUGCGGGCGAGGUCGGAGGAGAGGGCGAGGUGGGUGGCAGGGUCCGGGGAGGGGAGAGAUUUCCGGUCGACAUGGCACGAGGAAAGGGAUAGGGCCUGUAGGAAGUUCCGGCAGGUUCUGGAGGCUCAGCCAGAGAAUUGGCAGGCUGUGGUCUCCGCCUUUGAGAAAAUAGAGAAGGUAUGAAACUUGUUUCAGAAUUCUGAGAGCUCUGAAGAGUCCCUCUGUUUUCAAUUAAUCUAUGUUUUAGAUUAUGUGAUUGGUGAUUAGAUGCGAAACUUACUUAAAUGGUAGCUUCGAAUAGAAAAUGAGGAUGACGCCACCAGUAAAAGUAAAUUUGUUCAUGCUAUGCUGUGACUUAAUUUUUCUUUUCUUUCUUUAUCUGCGAAUUUAAAAUUACUUGCUCUCUAAUGCUGAACAUUGGAAUAUGCUACAAUAGUUUGUUGGAAGAAUGGAGGAAAUAAACAAAAUGGCUGUUAGGAAAAGGAGGACAAGUCAAUGUGCUCAAUGCGUAAAAUGAUUUCAAAGAAUUUUGGAAUUUAGUUUCUCUUAAUAAACCCUAGGUGCAGAAUUUUGAAGUUAUAGACAUGAAAGAUACUCGCUGCUUUGGGUUCGAGUCUAUACGUUUGGAAUAAAAAGCCAAAAUGUCAUAAAACGCAUGUAAUUGAGAAUGCUCUAAGGUGCUGCUAAUGAAAGUGCAAAUUCCUCAUUAAAUUCUAUGAUUUUCCCAUAGCAAUAUGUGUGUCAUAUUUUUAGUAUAUAUUCUUGAUAUUUAAUUUGUCUUCCUGAUGUUUUCCUUUGAAUAGUGAGAAACUAUGAAAUGGGGAGAGCAAAUAUAGAAAUGGGGAGAGCAAAUAUAGAUAUCAACAUUUACUGUAACAAACGAAAAUACAGGAAAGUUGCAAUUGGCUGGUACCUUGACCUGCUAUUGCAUUUUGAUCAUUACCAUCUUACAACGUGUAGUGCAAAUCUGGCGAUCUGAAGACUUUACAUGGAUUUACAUUUCUAAAACUUAACGUAGAUUUGCGUAAGUACAGAGCUACAUUAUUUGUGCUGAUCCUUUUCUAGACUACUUACUAUGUUCUUUUAUAUUUAGCCAUCCAGGAGAGAGUAUGGCUUAAUGGUGAUGUACUAUGCAAAAAGAGGGGAUAAGCACCAUGCUCGUGCCACCUUCGAGAACAUGAGAGCGAGAGGAAUAGAGCCAAAUUCAUAUGUGUUUACAAGGUAAUACCUGUUAUGCUGCUUGCGUAAUUUAAAGUUGGCCAAUUUGCAUAAAAAAUUCACUAGUUUUGAGCUUUUGCAAAAGUAGGCCGUCUUUUUGAAUUUUGCAGAUUCGAGCUGAAUUUUCAAUAAACUAAUCAAAAUACCUUGUUCCCUUUUUUCUUUCCUUUUUUUUUCUCUCGUUCUUUUCGUUCUCUCCUAAGAGGGCGGCAGAGGUGGAGGCGGCGGCUGUGGCGGCCCCGGCCCACCUUGCCUCUGUCGGGCCCACCCUUACCCUCACCCUCACCCGCGCACCUCCCUCCUUCCUCGCCUCUGACCCUGCCGAGACCACGCCGCAACCCUCUNCUCUGUCGGGCCCACCCUUACCCUCGCCCGCGCACCUCCCUCCUUCCUCGCCUCUGACCCUGCAGAGACCACGCCGCAAUCCUCUUUUUUUUUUUUUCUCAGACCCUCCUCCAUUGCCUCUCCGGCUCUUUACGAUAGUAAAGAGGGUAACGCCAUGUCCUCUCAUUUUUUUUUUCUCUCGUUCCUUUUUUUUUCUUUUCAACCCCCCUCAACCGUCUCCGUGACCCUCCAUGAUAGUAACGAAAAUAGCGCCGCAUCCUCUUACUCCGUCUUCGUCGGCGCAGGCACCAACACCAGCCCCGAAGGAGGACUCGGAGUGAGCGCGGAUCUGAGCAGAGCCAAGAAAAAAAUAAAAAAUAAAUAAAAUAAAAAAUAAAGAAUAAAAUAUAAUAUAUAUAUUUUUCUACAAGAAAAAUAAAGAAUCAGAGAGAAGAAAAAGAUGAUGAAGAUGCACUGUUUCAGAGGAACAUCGCACUGUUUUAAAGAAAAAUUAUAUUUUUCUCAAUGAAAGUUGCACUCUUCAGACGAAAAUUAUACUAUUUCUCCUCCUCCACACAAAAACAACGAGGAAGGAGGAAGAGGAAGAGGAGAAAUAGUGUAAUUUUCAUCCAAAGAGUGUAACUUUCGUUCAAAAAGUGCGACUUUUAUUCAUAAAGAUUUAAUUUUUCUCUCAAAUAGUGUAAGUUUUCUUUAAAACAAUGCAAUGUUCCUUUGAAAUAGUGUAACUUCAUCUUCUUCUUUUCUCUCUGAUUUUUUAUUUUUCUUGUAACUUCUUUUCACUCUCUCCGACCCUCAUCACUUCAACACCGCCUCUACGGCCCUUGGCAAUGGUAACGAGGGCGGUACCACAUCCUCUUCCUCCAUCUCCUCCGUCAGUGCCGGCGGCCCUCGGUGAUAAUAACGAGGGCGGCGCCACCCCGCCUCCGCCUCCGCCUCCGCCGACGCCGGAGAAAGAAAAGGAGAACUUGAAACGGCGGAUGAGAAGGACCAUUAAAUAUCAUUACUGCUACUAAAAAAUGAUAUAUAAUGGUCUUUUAAGCAGAAAAAAAAAUUAUUAUUAUUUUUUUACUUUUUAUUUUUUAUUUUUUUCUACCAUCUGCAUCAUCUUUAUUCACUCCUUGGAGAUGGGCGUGUCUUUUUUUCCUCACCCUUAUGGGCGACAAGCACCUCCUCAACAACGACCUCAUCGCCUCCGUCCCUCAUUCGAAUCUGUUUCAAGUUCUCCUUCUCCUUCUUCGGCGCCAGCGGAGGCAGAGGCGGAAAAGGCGGCGCCGCUCUCGUUAUUGUCGCCAAGGCCCGCCGACACCGGCGGAGGAGGAGAUAGAGGAAGAGAAUGUAGAGCUACCCUCGUUACCGUCGUCGAGAGCCGCGGAAGCGGUGAAGGAGGCGAUGAGGGUCGGAAAGGGUGAAAAAAGUUACAAGAAAAAUAAAAAAUCAGAGAGAAAAUAAGAAGAUAAUGAAGUUACACUAUUUCAGAGGAACAUUGUACUGUUUUAAAAAAAACUUAUACUAUUUGAGAGAAAAAUUAAACUUUUCUGAAUAAAGUUUGCAUUGUUUGAACGAAAGUUACACUCUUUAGACGAAAAUUACACUAUUUCUCCUAUUCCUUCUCUUCCUUCCUCUUUGUUUUCGUGUGAAGGAGAAACAGUGUAAUUUUCGUCCAAAAAGUGCAAGUUUCGUUCAAAGAGUGCAACUUUCAUUUAGAAAAAUAUAAUUUUUCUUUAAAAUAGUGCAACGUUUCUCUGAAACAGUGCAUUUUCAUCAUCUUCUUUUCUCUUCGAUUCUUUAUUUUUCUUGUAGAAAAAGGUUUUUUUUAUAUUUUAUUGUUUAUUCUUUUUAUUUUAUUUAUUUUCUACAUUUUUUUCUUGGCUCCGCUUUCACCCGCGCUCGCUCUGCAUCCUCCUUCGGCGCCGGUGUCGGUACCUGCGCCGGCGAAGACGGAGUAAGAGGAUACGGCGCUAUCUUCGUUACUAUCGUGAAGGGUUGUGGAGGCGGUGGAGGGAGGUCAAAUAGAAAAAAAAGAACGAGAGGAAAAAAGAAGAGAAAGAGGAUGCGGCGUUACCCUCUUUACUGUUGUAAAGAGCCGAGAAAGCGAUGGAGGAGGGUCGGACAGAAAAGAAAAAAAGGGUAGAGGCGCGACCUCGGUGGAGUCGGAGGCGAGGAAGGCGGGGGGUGCGUGGGCGAGGAUGAGGGUGUGCCGGACAGAGGCGAGAUGGGCCGCCUCCUCCUUCACCUCCGCCUCCGCCUCCGCCCCCGCCCUCUUGGGAGAGAAAUAAAAAAAAGAAAAACGAGAGAAAAAAAAAGAGGAGAGAGAAAAGGGAACAAGGGUAUUUUGGUCAGUUUUUUGAAAAUCCGGCCCGAAUCUGCUAAAUCCAAAAAGGCGGCCUACUUUUGCGAAAGCUCAAAACUAGUGGAUUUUUUAUGCAAAUUAGCCUUUAAAGCAAGGUUUAAAGUGCCGUNCCUCUCCGGCUCUUUACGAUAGUAAAGAGGGUACCGCCAUGUCCUCUCAUUUUUUUCUCUCGUUCCUUUUUUUUUUCUUUUCGACCCCCCUCCACCGUCUCCGCGACCUUCCAUGAUAGUAACGAAAAUAGCGUUGCAUCCUCUUACUCCGUCUUCGUCGGCGCAGGCACCAACACCAGCCCCGAAGGAGGACUCGGAGUGAGCGCGGGUCUGAGCAGAGCCAAGAAAAAAAUAUAAAAAAUAAAUAAAAUAAAAAAUAAAGAAUAAAAUAUAAAAUGUGUUUUUUUCUACAAGAAAAAUAAAGAAUCAGAGAGAAGAAAAAGAUAAUGAAGAUGCACUGUUUUAGAGGAACAUCGCACUGUUUUAAAGAAAAAUUAUAUUUUUCUCAAUGAAAGUUGCACUCUUCAGACGAAAAUUAUACUAUUUCUCCUCCACACAAAAACAACGAGGAAGGAGGAAGAGGAAGAGGAGAAAUAGUGUAAUUUUCAUCUAAAGAGUGUAACUUUCGUUCAAAAAGUGCGACUUUUAUUUAGAAAGAUUUAAUUUUUCUCUCAAAUAGUGUAAGUUUUCUUUAAAACAAUGCAACGUUCCUUUGAAAUAGUGUAACUUCAUCUUCUUCUUUUCUCUCUGAUUUUUUAUUUUUCUUGUAACUUCUUUUCACUCUCUCCGACCCUCAUCACUUCAACACCGCCUCCGCGGCCCUCGGCAAUGGUAACGAGGGCGGUGCCACAUCCUCUUCCUCCAUCUCCUCCGUCGGUGCCAGUGGCCCUCGGCGACAAUAACGAGAGCGGCGCCACCCCGCCUACGCCUCCGCCUCCGCCUCCGCCGACGCCGGAGAAAGAAAAUGAGAACUUGAAAUGGACCCGGAUGAGAAGGACCAUUAAAUAUCAUUACUGCUAUCGAAAAAUGAUAUAUAAUGGUCUUUUAAGCAGAAAAAUUUUUUUUUUAUUAUUUUUUUUACUUUUUUUUUUUUUCUACCAUCUGCAUCUUUGUUCACUCCUUGGAGAUGGGCGUGUCUUUUUUUCCUCACCCUUAUGGGCGACAAGCACCUCCUCAACAAUGACCUCAUCGCCUCCGUCCCUCAUUCGGAUCCAUUUCAAGUUCUCCUUCUCCUUCUUCGGCGCUAGCGGAGGCAGAGGCAGAAAAGGCGGCGCCGCUCUCGUUAUUGUCGCCAAGGCCCGCCGACGCCGGCGAAGGAGGAGAUAAGAGGAAAAGAAUGUAGAGCUACCCUCGUUACCGUCGCCGAGAGCCGCGGAAGCGGUGAAGGAGGCGAUGAGGGUCGAAAAGGGUGAAAAAAGUUACAAGAAAAAUAAAAAAUCAGAGAGAAAAUAAGAAGAUAAUGAAGUUACACUUUCAGAGGAACGUUGCACUGUUUUAAAAAAAACUUACACUAUUUGAGAGAAAAAUUAAACUUUUCUGAAUAAAAGUUGCAUUGUUUGAACGAAAGUUACACUCUUUAGACGAAAAUUACACUAUUUCUCCUCUUCCUUCUCUUCCUUCCUCUUUGUUUUCGUGUGAAGGAGAAACAGUGUACUUUUCGUCCAAAAAGUGCAAGUUUCGUUCAAAGAGUGCAACUUUCAUUGAGAAAAAUAUAAUUUUUCUUUAAAAUAGUGCAACGUUUCUCUGAAACAAUGCAUUUUCAUCAUCUUCUUUUCUCUCCGAUUCUUUAUUUUUCUUGUAGAAAAAGGUUUUUUUUUAUAUUUUAUUGUUUAUUCUUUUUAUUUUAUUUAUUUUCUACAUUUUUUUCUUGGCUCCACUUUCACUCGCGCUCACUCCGUGUCCUUCUUUGGUGCCGGUGUCGGUGCCUGCGCCAGCGAAGGCGAAGUAAGAGGAUGCGGCGCUAUCUUCGUUACUAUCGUGAAGAGUUGUGGAGGCGGUGGAGGGAGGUCAAAUAGAAAAAAAAGAACGAGAGAAAAAAAAGAAGAGAAAGAGGAUGCGGCGUUACCCUCUUUACUGUUGUAAAGAGCUGAGAAAGCGAUGGAGGAGGGUCGGACAGAAAAGAAAAAAAAGGGUAGAGGCGCGACCUCGGUGGAGUCGGAGGCGAGGAAGGCGGGGGGUGCGCGGGCGAGGAUGAGGGUGUGCCGGACAGAGGCGAGAUGGGCCGCCUCCGCCUUCGCCUCCGCCUCCGCCUCCGCCCCCGCCGCCCCCGCCCUCUUGGGAGAGAAAUAAAAAAAAGAAAAACGAGAGAAAAAAAAGAGGAGAGAGAAAAGGGAACAAGGGUAUUUUGGUCAAUUUUUUGAAAAUCCGGCCCGAAUCUGCUAAAUCCAAAAAGGCGGCCUACUUUUGCAAAAGCUCAAAACUAGUGGAUUUUUUAUGCAAAUUGGCCUUUAAAGUUCUUAUAUUGGUUCUGAUUUCAAGAAAGUUACUUGAGUAGGACAGCACGUGUAGGAUAAUGUGUGUUUUCCCCCUCUCUUUUGUAUUGGAGCUCUUAUUCCAAAGCUUGGACAAUUGGUAUAGGAUUUAGUCAGGGUAGCCAACAGUAAUAUAAAAUGUUCUUUUUAGACUUUGUUUAUGAGAUUAUGAUUUAUGACUAAUAAUCUGGUGUAAGGUGUUUCUGUACAAAAGCAGAUUAAUAAUAGUAGCUUGAGCAAUGAAUUUUUGUAACAGGAUCUAAUUUACUUAGAAAAUGUCUCUUGCAUGUUCUAAUUAUGUGAAAGUAUUCGAAUUAUCUAGGGUUGCAUGACUACUAGCUUAUCUUUUACACCAAGUAAUUUGACCCUGUACAUAUGUCCAUUGGGGUAAAUUGGGUCUUCUGCCAGGGCGGAGAUCCUCUUUUCCGCAUGUCUAUUGGGGUAAAUGCACUGCUACAUUCUGAACUUAACAUGCUAUUCGUAAGUUAAGCAGUCAUUAUAAGCUAAGAAAUUAAGAGGAAUUUAAAAGCAGUAACUUAUCCUUAAACUUGAUCAACAUGGAGAUCCAUUUCUUUACAUUCGAGCUUUGUCAAACCACCCAAAAUGAAAGUUGUGAGAACUUCCUAUUCUUCUCCCCUUUUAGCCCCUUUGUGCCUUGUUGUGGUUCUUUAGUCUUGGGGGUUAGAUUUCAAGUGUGUUUUCUACUUAUGGGUCCUUAAAUCCUCAUAAAGAAAGAGAAAAUAAACCUGUUAGAAUCUCCUGUAAUCUUUAUCUUCUCUGUCUUAUAUGAAUAGGUCGUCAAACUAAAAUUGUAAUCUUUUUUCUUUUUUUGCUUUUGCAUUUUUCUUCCGUGACUCAUUUGUCCUAUCACCGCUAUGUUAAAUGAGCUAUUUGAUCAACAUCAGGAAGCAUUUAUUCUGUUGCUCAUGUUGGAAUUGUGCAUCACCUGCAUUAAGUGUAAUUUAUUUCAUGCAGCCUUAUUCACGCUUAUGCAGUUGAUAGAGAUAUGAGAGGUGCAUUAUCGUGCAUUGAAGAGAUGAAGACUGAGGGCCUUGAGCUUACUGUGGUGACUUACAGUAUCCUUAUUGCAGGCUUUGCCAAGAUUAAUGAUUCUGAGUGAGUUAUUAUUGUUCCUAACCGGCAUAUACCAAUUUAAUCCCUGCAGUUGACCUGGAUUUCAAGCUCAUCCUCUGACAUAACAAUGAAGUCCCUGAAGUUUGACCACAAUUUCAAUUUCGUAGUUUUAAUUGAAACAAAGCAAAGUCCGCUGAUGAUGCUGACAUGGUGAUUUUUUUUUUUCGGGCAGUAGACUUAUAGAGCUUAAUUGUUAUGAAAACAAAACUUCAGGGACUAAAUUUUGACAAUUGAAGCUAUGAGGGAAAAUUUGAAAUCAAGGUCAACCUUCAAGGACUAAAUUUCUAAUUAAGCCUAUCUUUUAUGUGGUUCUGUUGUUUUAUCUGUUUAAUUUCUUGUCUUGUAUUUAUUCAUUAAUAUUGCUUGACUUUUAGAUCAGAAGCUGUUAUUGUCCCAUCAUUCGUCGGGCCUUGGCCCAAUAUAUGAUUAUGGUGGGCUUCUUGCUAAUAUCCUUAUGGUGCUUUGGAAGAUCUGCAGAUAACUGGUUUGAAGAGGCAAAACAGAAGCUUACGUCCCUGAAUGCCAUUAUAUAUAGCAACAUUAUUUAUGCUCAUUGGUAAGUACUUCAAGAUGGAUAUGAAUUUUCUUUUCAAGUUCUGUAAGUUGUAUCUGUGAAUCUGGUGUAAGAUGAUGCAUAUGGCUAAUGCAGUUUUUUUCUAAAAAAAAAAUUCUUCCAAACUUUCUGUCUCUUUAUUUUGGUUCGCUGUACUCGUAAAUAAUUAUUCAACACAGUAUUGUUAACUGUUCUAAAGCUAUUAUUAUGAAUGCGGUUGUGAACCAUGAUAUAUGAUACAUUUAUACUAUCAAAUGUUAACAUUCAAGAUUUAUUUCAUUAACUUCUUUCGUAUAAUCUCUAGGGCCACAGGGAUCGUACAAUUCAGCCCUAGGAUUUUACCAUAUUUCUCUUCUUAUUAAAAAUAGACAUUUGGUCAAAUUGUAAUAUGGACUCUUUUGGUCUGAUAAAACUGAUAUUGAUCGAUGUUGCAGUUACUAAUGAUUGCUUCAAUAUGUGCAAUCCUUUCAGCCAAGCUGGGAAUAUGGGUAGAGCUGAAGAAUUGGUCCGCGAAAUGGAAGAAAAUGGGAUAGAUGCUCCUAUUGAUGCAUAUCACAGUAUGAUGCAUGGCUACACAAAUAUUCAGAAUGAAGAGAAAUGUUUAAUUGUGUUUGAAAGACUUAAGGUUUGUUUGCUAGUAACAUUGUUUAUUGUGUAAUUCUAGUUUAAUGUUUCUUUCUUAGUGAAAGUACUGCAAAUCUACUGGAGUGUUAAAUGCUGACUAGUGGAUGCUUAAUCUCUAACUUUCAUGUGAUUGUUUACAAUUUAUGCAGGAAUGUGGAUUCACACCUUCAGUUAUUACUUAUGGUUGUCUUAUCAAUUUGUAUGUUAAGGUGGACUUUUCUUUUCUCGCGUCGUUUGCCAUAGUUUAUCCUUAACUCUGACUAUUUUUGGCUUCUGUACUUGUGUAUCCUUAUAAAGUUUACUCACUUAACAUAAUUAGAAAUAAUUGUGAUAAACUGAUAAUUGCCAGCUGGUCUGUAUGCAAUCUGAUCUUUCACGGACAAAUCAAAACAAAGUUGUUUUUGUUAAUGGGGAAGCAAGUACUUAAAAAACUAGACAGAUAAACUACUUCGUUUGUCGCAAUUUGAUCUUAUAGACAAUCAAAAAUUUUCACCUGGAAGUUAUAUCUAUCCAUAACAUUUGUGUAUAACAAUUCUGUGCACAUUAUCUAUGAGUAUUACCUACAAACUAUAUCGUUCAUUUUUCCACUGUCACUGUGUGGCAUAACAAUAUUUUUAUUACUCAUUUCUACAGAUUGGGAAGGUCUCAAAAGCCUUAGAGAUAAGCAGAAUAAUGGAAUCAUGUGGCAUCAAACAUAAUAGCAAGACUUACUCAAUGUUGAUCAAUGGGUUUAUCCAUUUAAAUGAUUAUGCAAAUGCCUUCAGCAUCUUCGAGGAGAUGCUUAAAUCAGGCUUAAAAGCAGAUCGCGUCAUAUACAACAUUUUGGUAGAAGCAUUUUGUAAAAUGGGUAAUAUUGAUCGAGCCCUUCGUAUCGUUGACAAAAUGCAAAAGGAGAGAUUUAGGCCUUCAGGUAGAACAUUUAGGCCAAUUAUAGAAGGGUAUGCAGCAGCUGGAGAUAUGAAAAGAGCUAUGGAAACUUUCGAUCUUAUGCGAAGAAGUGGUUGUAUUCCAACUGUAGAAACUUACAAUGCUCUUAUUCAUGGUCUCGUCAGGAAGCAUCAGGUAGUUCUCAUGAUUAACUUUAAGUACUUUUUUGACUAACAGAUUUUUUGCAUUUAUACUUGUCAAAAUGCAUGUAAUUAUGCAUACCUCUCCAAAGUGCAAAUUUGUCUAUAUGUUCUUGACAGUAUGAUAUUUCGUUAGAUGCCCCUCUGUGAUACUACAUACAUUGUGAACAUGCACUCACUUGACUACAGUCGUACCAUAGUAACUUUUAAGUCCUGAACUAGGGAAUUGAAAUGACAAAAUUGCUCUUAUGGGUGUAGGAAUAAGUGGUUCUGUGAUAACUAGUUUUGUAUGGGGAUUUUCUUUUGUGAUUGCAAGCUAGGACUACGUUUUAUUCCAUUGUAAGGUCCUGAUAAUCAUGGUUUUUCUGGAUAGGACAUUUCACCUUCGAAGUGACUUAUUAUAUUCUGAGAAAAUUGAUUUAGAGUUGGUAUAUGCUAUGCAGUUGUACAUACUACAUACAUUGUGAACAUGUAUUCACUUGACCAUUGUCAUACCGUAGUAACUUUUUAGUCCUCAACUAAGGAAUUGAAAUGACAAAAUUGCUCUCAUCUUGCACCAGUACACAGGGUGUGUUUGGAUGUAGGAAUAAGUGUUCUGUGAUAACUUGUUUUAUGGGGAUUUCCUUUUGUGAUUGCAAGCUAGGACUAUGUUUUAUUCCAUUGUAAGGUCCUGAUAAUCAUGGUUUUUCCAGAUGGGACAUUUCACCUUCGAGGUGACUUAUUAUAUUCUGAGAAAAUUGAUUUAGAGUUUGCAUAUGCUUUGCAGUUGUAGAUAUCUUUCCACAAGUCCCUGUACAUCUUUUCAUAGUCCCCACCAACCAUUUACUCUGAUUGUUAGGCUCUUAAAAAUCUUGAAAUCGACCAUCAAGUGUCAAAUAUUUUGCCAACACCAUUCCAUGCAGAUGGAUUUAGGAUUAUAUUGGUUGUUUCAUGUGUUUCUGUUAGAUUUCUAACAUUCUGCAACAGAAAGUAGAGUUGCAUGGUUAUUUAGACAAAUGAGUUGUUUCUAAGGGUAUAUAUUUAUAGAUUUUUACAUUGCAAGGGUAUAAAUGCAAAUAACUAUAGUUGAAGGCUUUAAUGAGUCGGAGUCCAUAAUCAUUAUUUGAUGUUUUCUAGGUGGAAAAAGCUGUUGAUGUCAUGGAAAAGAUGUCUUUGGCUGGGAUGACUCCAAAUCAGCAUACCUACACAAUUAUAAUGGGCGGUUAUGCUGCUGAUGGUGAUAUAGGCAAAGCCUUCGAAUACUUCACAAAAAUUAAGGAGAAUGGACUAAAACUUGAUGUUUUCAUAUACGAAGCAUUGCUUAAGGCAUGUUGCAAAUCGGGGCGGAUGCAAAGUGCUUUAGCAGUCACGAGGGAAAUGAGCGUCCGAAAGAUUCCAAGGAACACGUUUGUUUACAACAUUCUAAUUGAUGGGUAAUUGUUUUAUACGUCUUUUCAAAAAAUACAAUGAUUGAAGAGGAUUAUAUCUUUUCGCCAUUCUCAUAGGGAUGACAAAUUUCUCUUUACCCUACCUAGAAACCCGACCCUACCAGAACUGGUUUGGUACCCUAGCCUAAAAAUUUUUGGGCAGGAUAACGGUAAAAAAUUUCUUCCUAAAUUAUUUUCUAGUUGGGUUAGGGUUUACCUGUUUCAGAUAGUGAUACUACGAAUUUGUGCAGGUCAACCCCUAGGAGAAAGGUAAAAAAUUUCUCAUCCUAAGUUAGAUUCUAUACUGCCUAUUAGCAACAUUCAGUUCAUUAAGAUAUAACUUAUAAUGCGGGAACCAUAGCUAAUCUUCUUGGCCUUCUUUAAGUAUACUACCCCAUUUCAUUUUAUAAUAAUUGUAUAGUUAUGAUGUUACUAUAUUUAUUUUUGCCUUAUCCAUUGUCUGCUCAUGCAGAUGGGCUCGAAGAGGGGAUGUGUGGGAGGCCGCUGAUUUAGUUCAGCAGAUGAAGCAAGAUGGAGUUCUUCCAGACAUCCAUACGUACACUUCCUUCAUAAAUGCAUGUUGCAAGGCUGGUGAUAUGCUGGUAUUCCAUCUUCUUUGACAUUUUCAAUAUGUUUAUUGAUUGAGUUAUUGUAAUGUGGCUAUAAUUUUGGAGAACUGCAUAAUGUGCUCAAAGUUUUAAUCGGCUUUUUUUGGGGGGUAAGAGCCCCAUUGAUCUAAAAGUUGGUUUCUAUUAUGUCUACAUGUUUUAUUUUGUUGUGCAUAGCCAUCAUUAUAGGAAAAAUCAGGUAUUAUUUAUAUACAUGUUGCUGACAAAUAUGAAUAUUUGUGCGUCCUUUGGAAAUGAAAUUUCUUACAAAGCAGCCUAUUAUAAUGUGGGAAAGUUGGUUUUGAUAAGAAAUUAGUUAUUUUUGAGUUUUUCUCAUAUGUACGUGGGUAUUUAUGCAAGAACUCUUUUUUUUUUUUUCUUUUUUUUUCUUUUUCUUUUUUUUUGAGAGAGAGAGAGAGGUAGUAUGCCACCCACUACUUUCAUUUGUUUUUGGAUAAAAGUGAACUGCUGGAAACAUGAAGCAACUAGGUUUUGAAUUUGGAACCUCGGGCAUCAACUAUCAAGCCUUUGUCACUUGCGCUAGGGAUGGUUAGUGGUAUUAAUGCAUGAAGUUAAGCUAGCUUAUGUAGGGCACAAAAGAAAAUUUCAGGUUUCAUAGUGACAAAUAUAUACAUUCAAAUGAAUAAUUUUGCAGGGUAUAUAGGUGAUUUGCCAUAGUUAUAUAAUAAUUAUUGAUUAUUCUUGCUUACAGAGAGCUACAAAAGUGGUAGAAGAGAUGGAAGCUGCUGGAGUAAAGCCUAAUGUUAGAACAUAUACCACCUUAAUUAAAGGCUGGGCGCGGGCUUCGCUUCCUGAGAAGGCUUUUAGAUGCUUCGAAGAGAUGAAACAGGCUGGGUUGAAGCCUGACAAGCCUGCAUACCAUUGCCUCAUGACCUCUCUUCUCUCUAGGGCAACUAUUACUGAGGACUAUAUCUACUCAGGAAUUGUAAGUAUUUGCAAAGAGAUGAUCGAGAACGACCUGACCGUCGAUCUCCGAACCGCCGUGCACUGGUCGAAAUGUCUUCGAAGGAUCGAGAGAUCGGGGGGUGAGCUCACGGAAGCGAUUCAGAGAACGUUUCCGCCUGCUUGGAAUACGCAUGAAAUUGAUGAGAAAAAUUCUGAUUAUCUGAUUGAAAGUCAUGGUGGUGAUGACAGCGAGUAUGAAUUUAGUGAUGAGAGUGGGAAUGAAGAUAAUGAUGAUGAUGCCGGUGAUGAAGGUGCAAUCCAGACACACAAAAUUUAGAGGCAGUGAAAAGUUAAAAGGGUUCACAAUUACAUGUAAUUUGGUGAAGUUUGCAGCAUGUUUCAGUGACGAAAAGGUAUUUCAGCUUAGGAGUAACCAUGCAAUUGAGUUAAAUGGCCAUGAAAUGUUUGUAAUUUUGAUCUUCUUUUUUUUUUUUUUUUUUUUUUUUUUUUUUUUUUUUUGCUCAUUCUGCAUCUCUGUUUAGUAAAACUGCCAUGCUAACAUGGCUGUUGUUUAUUCAUUUUGCUUUUGACCGUAGCUGCUGCUUUUCCAAUUGUAGAGCUUAUUAAUGCAUUACUAAGUUCGCUUUGUUUGUGAUUAUGAGAUUUUGAUGUAGAAAAGUAUUGACAGGAAAUAGCAACAUAAGUUUUGUUGGGGAAUUUCAUUGGUUCAUUUCUUGUUGGUUUGAACUACCAGUAAAAGUGUUUGUAGUUCGAGGAAAGUGUGGUGACUGCUGAAAAGGAAUAAAAAAAGAAAAUGGAAGCAGUUCAGUAAAUUAUAAUUUAAAUUUUGCACUUCAAAUUUAUAUAGAUGUAACAAUUCCUCAUGUAAUUUGUUUGAUUAUUAAAAUCCAAAGGCAAUGGAUAUUUCAAUUUGGUUAUUGAUAAUUUCGCAUUGUUUGAGUAAUUUAUUGAUUAUUCAUAAUUUUUCGUGAUUUUCUUGCCCAAAUUUAUGUACUUAAUAAUGAUAUGGAAAAGGGCUGAAAAUAUAUCGUCAUCUUCAAAUUUUAAAAUGUUAAAAAAAGAACGGGUAAAUUACACUUUUGGCCCUCAAACUACGAGGCACAUUUUGAUUUCAAACUUUAAUUUAUAGCAAUUUUGUAGUGUCCCUGGUGUUUUGCUGUUUGCGAGAUUUCAACAUUUGCGGCUUGUCGACACAUCUGGAAAGUGUCGGGACAAGUCGGAGUCGUUUUGGCGCGAGUUGGGUACAAAACGGGUUCAGCGCGAUGCGAGAGUGGAGUUCUGACACUGAAAUCUGCAAACUGCAGGAUUUCAGUGUUGAGUACCGGUACCCCUGUGCGAUUGCAGAAUUGGAUGCUCUCGGGUCGCGUGUGUUUGAUGCUGAGUACCGGUACCUGCUUGUUGAGUACCGGUAUUGAGCUCGAGUACCGGUACUAUAUCGGGUUG